rnacentral:lncRNA from 1 species
UUGACAUAGAGGACGCCGUCAAUAAGGAUGCUGACAUUGUCUUUGGUAAUAGCAGAUUGAUCAGGAAUCUGAAUAGCCUCUUCCUUCAAAGAGUGAACAUAAGCAAUUCGAUCGACAAGGGGAAUCAAGAAAUGGAUUCCAGAUGGCAGCGUCUUCAAGUACUUUCCAAAUCUCUCUACCACAAACGCUUUCUUCUCCGGCACAAUCCGUACCCCCCAAUUCACAGGUGGCGUAAUCUCAUAACUAAUGAAUUAUAAUAAAUUAAUAAAAAAAAAGAAGGAAGAAAGACAGGGAGGGAAUGCGGAAUGAAUGUACCUGGUGAAGGGGUCGCGGCCGGAGCGGAGGAGGCGGACGGAGAUGGUGGAGGAGAGAGGAGACGAAAGGCGGUUGUUUUGGGCUAAGUGAAAAGAAGGGGGUUGAAAUAAGGGAGAAUUGGAGGAGGGAGUGAGGAGGGUUCUGCCUCUGGAAGCGGUGGAAGCCGAUAAGGAGGAGAGGUGGUGGGAGGUUCUUACGGCGUUGUUGAGUAAUAAAUGACUCCUCCUCCUCCACAUUUUUCUGUCUCUCUUUGUUGUUGCUGUUGAAAAACCCUUGGCCUCCUUAAUUAUCGAACCCUCCCUCACUCUCACACUCUUCACUCUGAUCUGCUCUGCUGACCCUCUCCCCAAGUCACCCUCUCUCUUUUGUUCCCCCUCUGCCCACUCAAAUAAUUUAUUUUCCGAAGUUGUAAUUGACAGUGUGUGGUGGGUGGGUUUUGUUUUAGGCCCGACGUUUUAUAAUGGGCUCUUUUUUUUCUUUUAGAGUUUUUGUUAAAGAAUUGAGAAAAUCGAGACUAAUGUUCUCUGAACAUGAAGAACAAUGAGAGAACGGCAUGAUUUUUAUAAUUUUAAUUUUAAUUUCUUAAGUUAGAGAGCUUAGAUUUAUAUAAAAGUGAGGUUUUACAAUUCAUGAAUAAUAAGACAAUUUAAUCAUAUUUAAUCAGAUAAACAAUAGGAUUAGAGGAUAAAAAGUAAUCCAAAUUACUUUGAUUGUUCGAAUAAAUUCGGGUAGUAAAUUUCUUAAAGUUUCGGAGAAGAGGUAAUUCAGAGAAUUGCCUCAAAUUUAUUUAAGAUAAUUCCUGUAAAAUUAAAAAACUUAAAUCAUCCAAAUUAUAGUUCUAAUUUAUUUAUAAGGAUUUAGAAAUAAUGAGAUUGAAAUUUUUCUUAGUAAAAAAUUUCUUGAGCCUAGUUUUAUUAAUCCAUAUUUUUAAUGAAUUUCUUAUAAAAAAUUAAUGGGGCAAUGGUAAAAACAGUAUUAAUUUUGGAUUACCUGAUUUUUUCAAAAUAGGGUUUAUACAUACUGCUAUAAAUUGAUAAUAAUAUUUGCAUCUCAGAAACAUAGAAACAUUUGAUCGUAAAUCUUCUGUUACUUUUGUGUUGCAUUAAUUACUGCUUGGAUCGACACGAAGGUAAAGAGCUAAGCAAGUUAGCUAGUAAUUUAACCGAUAAUAAUUAAGUAUUAAAGUGUUAAUCAAGAAAAAGAACAUUUCUAGUUUGAAUCUUAUCACUUGGAUUUCCCAACUUACAUAGUGAUUGAUUAAAACUCUCGAGUUGAUAAAUUUUUGACCGUGAUUUAGCUCUCGAAAGUGAUCACUCACCCGUAGGCUAUGUCAGGAGUGAGUCCUUGCUAUGGAUAUAAGAAGAAGAAAAAAAAAACGAAGGUAUGGAGCUCUACGUAUCCUUGUUAUUAGUAAAGGUUAUAUUCAUGUGGAAAAGUGGUUAUCUCUUACAUGAACUUUGGUGCUCCCUUCAAAAGACUGAAGAAUUUGAAAGUAGAAUGCAAAUGUGAUUCAUAUGUGCUACCGGCGAAUAUCUCAACCUUCUUACGUGAUGCUGAAUACAUAAAAAUGGGAGAACGAAGCGAAGAAGGAAUCGUAGGUAAUUACAUUUUCAAAUUUUUAUUUCUAUUUGCAGUCUGAAUCUUAAUUGAUUUUCGUUGAUCGUUAAUAUUCUCAAUCAAUUUCAUUGCUUAAUCUCGAUUGCCGUAUUCAUGUAUUGAAUAUACUCAGCACACUCAAGUCUGCUAAUGGAUGAAGUGCAGACAUUGCAUUGAGAAGACAUUGCACUGAUGAGCUGGAAACUAAAGCUGCUAUAACAAGCUUAGCAGACGGUUAGAGUAGGCACAGCAGGUGGUUAGAUUCUGUUGUAAAGUCUGGUAUUCUGUUGUAAAAUCUGUUAUUUAUAACUGAUUCUGUUACUAUACUACAAGAAGGCUAUAAAUAUUGUAUCAGUUGAAUCAAUGAAUAAUAAGAAAAUCAGUUAAACAUUUUCGUUUCCAAUAUGGUAUCAGAGCAUUCUCUCUGAAUUUUUUUUCCCGCAUCCUUCUUUUUCUUCAUUCUCUCUUCUGUCUUCAUUCUCAACAAUGACUGACGCUACUUCAGAAAUGGAUUCUUCCAAUCCUUUCUUUCUACAUCAUGGUGACAGUCCUGGAGCCAUGAUUGUUUCGAAGCAACUCAAUGGUGAGAAUUAUAAUUCAUGGAAGAGGGCGAUGAUGAUGGCUUUAUCAGCCUAGAACAAACUCAAUUUCGUUAAUGGCACCUUGCCUAAGCCAUGCAAUCUAUCAGAUUCUCAAGGUUUGGCAUGGACUCGCUGCAACAAUAUGGUUCUCUCGUGGUUAUUGAAUUCUGUUUCAACAGAGAUUGCCAACAACAUCUAUAUUGAUGAUGCAUCUGAAAUUUGGAAUGAUCUUCAAGAUAGAUUCUCUCAACACAAUGGACCACGUAUCUUUCAACUACAGAAGUCCAUUUAUCUCUGUCACAGGAGAAUAACUUGUCAGUGCUUAUUUCACAACUAUGAAAGGCUUAUGGGAUGAGUUAGGCAAUCAUCAACCCAUUCCUACGUGCACAUGUGGAGCAUUGAAGACUAUUCUAUCUUAUCAUCAUCAACACAUGUUUAUUAGUUUCUCAUGGGCUUGAAUGAGAGUUAUUCCCAGAUUCGAGGACAAAUUCUGUUAAUUGAUCCAUUACCAUCCAUUAACAAAGUUUUCUCCCUUAUAAUUCAGGAAGAGAGGCAACGUAUGAUUUCUUCUUCAAGUGUUUCUUUCAAUCAGAACACCACUACAUUACUUGCCAGGACAGUAGCUCCAUCUCCAACCUAUUUUUCUAGACACAAAUCCUCUUAUCCUCGCAAAGAGCGUUCAAUAUGCUCUCAUUGUGGUAUUCAUGGCCACACUGUGGAAAAAUGCUACAAAAUCCAUGGAUUCCCACCUGGUUACAAGUUUACCAAAGGGAAAAAUGCAGUUCACAAUGUAAAUCAGGUCUCUGACAGCACUGUUCCUCGGCUACCUAUCACUUAUGCACAAUGUCAGCAACUCCUGGAGAUGUUCAACCCCUCAAUCUCAGAACGUGAAUCCUCUGUGAAUCAAGUCUCUUCAUCUGUCCAUAAAGAAUAUGAAAUUCUUACUUCAGGUGACACUCCAAUCAAACUAAACCAAGCAGGUACUCUUUCCAGUAUAUUUCCUUUCAAUCCAAAGCAUUCUGUUUUUUCAUCUACCUUAUCUCUUACUCAUCCAACUGCUCUCACAAAUUCUGUCAAAGCCCCUUGGAUAAUUGACACUGGAGCUACAGAUCAUAUGAUUUGUUCUACCUCCUUAUUUACACACAUUACUUCUGUCGUUUCCAAAACAGUAAGGUUACCUAAUGGACAACAUGCUUCAGUUACUCACAUUGGUACCAUUAAGAUUAUAGAAUCUCUUAUUUUAACCAAUGUGCUUUGUAUCCCUUCCUUUUCUUUCAACUUAAUCUCUGUCAGUAAGCUCAUUCAAACCUUACACUGUUGUGUCAUCUUCUUAUCCAAAUUCUGUUUUGUUCAGACUCUUGCAAACUGGAGAACGAUUGGUGUGGGUAAAGAAAAUGGAUGUUUAUACCAUUUGCUGCAAAAUCCGGUUUCUGCUUUAUCUAGGAAUUCUGCAUUUUCCACUCCUGUAAAAACCAUGUCCCAGCCUACAAUAAUGAAUCUAGCUUCUGCUAGUUUCUUUGUUCAUUCUGUAAACAAUAGUCUAUGGCAUUACAGAUUAGGUCACCCCUCAGAUUCUCCCUUGAAAUUGCUUUCUCAUGUAAUUCCUCAAGUUUUACAUGAAUCUAAUAAGACUUGCAGCAUAUGUCCUCUGGCUAAACAACACCGGUUACCUUUCCCACACAGCAUUACAGCUUUUGCACAACCCUUUGAUCUUAUUCACUGCGAUCUUUGGGGUCCUUUUUCCACUAAAUCUAUUAGUGGCUCUUCUUAUUUCCUGACCAUUGUCGAUGAUAAUACCAGGUUCACAUGGAUUCAUCUUUUGGAAAAUAAAUCUCAGACUAGAACUCAUAUUCAAUCCUUUUUCACUUUGGUUGAGACAUAGUUUAAUGCACAAAUCAAGUCUCUUCGAUCAGAUAAUGGAAUUGAAUUCCACAUGCCUCAAUUUUAUGCCUCAAAAGGUGUAGUUCAUCAACUGAGUUGUGUUGAAACUCCACAACAAAACUCAGUUGUUGAAAGAAAACACCAGCACAUUUUAAAUGUUGCCGAUCCCUUCGUUUUCAGUCUCAUCUACCUUUAUCAUUUUGGGGUGAUUGUGUUCUCACUGUCGUGCAUUUGAUCAAUAGGAUUCCUACUCCUGUCUUACAUAACAAAUCUCCUUAUGAAAUGUUGUUCCAAUCUCGUCCAUCUUAUUCCCAUUUAAGAGUCUUUGGUUGCCUCUGCUAUGCAACUACUCUCCUUAGACAUCGCCAGAAAUUUGACUCUAGAGCCAAACCUUGUAUAUUCCUUGGCUAUCCAUAUAACAUCAAGGGCUAUAAACUCUAUGAUUUACAUCUCAACACUGUCUUUGUCUCCCGAAAUGUUAUAUUCCAUGAAGCUGUAUUUCCUUUUUCCCUCAAACAUCAUAUCUCCUCUACUGAUUAUGUCCUUCCUUUACCUCUUACACUACCUGAAUCAGUAGCCCCAUCCCUUGAUCACAUGGAUUCAGCUUCUUUUCCUUUUCACACUAAUACUAGCUCACCCUCUAAUCCCAGUCCAUCUCCUCCCUUAAAUUCUGACUCAGCACCUCUUCUAGCAUCUCCUUCUGAGAUUAUUUCUCAGCCAUGCAGAAAGUCUUCUCGGAUAAAACACAAACCUGGAUAUUUGCAUGACUAUCAUUGUCAUAUUGCAACCUCCUCUUCAGAGCCUGCACCUUCUUCUUCAGUUUCAGGUAUUCCUCAUACAUUUUCCUCUGUCCUUUCUUAUGAUCAUCUAUCUCCUAAUCAGAAAUGCUUCAGUCUUUCUGUAUCUACCCUUGUUGAGCCUACUUCGUAUACUCAAGCUAUGUAUUCUAAGGAAUGGUGUGAGGCUAUGGACAAUGAGAUUAAAGCUCUUGAAUUGAAUAAUAUCUGGACUGUUGUUGAUCUCCCUGCUUCAAAACAUACUAUUGGCUGCAAAUGGGUCUACAAAGUUAAACUCAAAUCUGAUGGCACCUUAGAGAGGUAUAAGGCCAGGCUCGUUGCCAAGGGCUAUACUCAAUGUGAAGGACUGGACUAUUAUGACACUUUCUCCCCUGUGGCUAAGCUCACCACGGUGAGAACUCUUUUGGCAGUUGCUGCUGUCAAGCAUUGGCAUCUCCAUCAAUUGGAUGUUAACAAUGCAUUUCUUCAUGGCGAUUUAGAUGAAGAAGUCUACAUGUCCUUACCACCUGGUUUUGCUAAAAAGGGGGCGUCCAAAGUUUGCAAACUCCAUAAGUCACUCUAUGGUUUAAAGCAAUCUUCGCGGCAAUGGUUUGCCAAAUUUUCCUCUGCAUUGCUUGACUUUGGUUUCGUGCAGUCCAAGGCUGAUUACACUUUGUUUACUCGAUCAUUGGCAGAUUCCUUCAUUGCUAUCUUAGUCUGUAUUGAUGAUAUAGUUGUUGCCAGUGACAAUUCAGAUGCAGUUUCCACGUUUAUUCACUUGCUUAAUAACAAAUUUUAGCUUAAAGAUCUUGGACCAUUGAAGUAUUUCCUUGGUUUGGAAAUAGCUCGCAGUGAGCUUGGCUUAUCCGUCUGUCAGCGCAAGUAUGCCUUGGACAUCCUUGAGACUACUGGUUUGUUAGCUUCGAAACCAGCCAAAGUUCCAAUGGAUCCUAAUGUGAAAUUCUCUAAGGAUUCUGGACCACUCUUAGAUGAUCCUACCUCCUAUAGACGACUUAUUGGCCGACUACUCUAUCUCACCAUCAGUCGUCCUGACAUUUCUUUUGUUGUUCAGGUUUUAAGUCAGUUUAUGGAUAAGCCACGAGUUCCUCAUCUUGAUGCAGCUACUCAGGUCCUACGUUAUAUUAAAGCCUCUCCAGGUCAGGGACUAUUCUUUCCAGUCGCCUCUAGCCUACAACUUAAAACUUUUUGUGAUUCAGACUGGGCUGGUUGCUUGGAUUCUAGACGUUCAGUCAUAGGCUUCUGCGUCUUCCUUGAUAAUUCUUUGAUUUCUUGGAAAUCUAAGAAACAAACCACAGUCUCCCGAUCUUCUGCUGAAGAUGAGUAUAGAGCUAUGGCAUCCACAUGCUGUGAGAUUGUGUGGCUUCAAGCCCUUCUCCACGACUUGCAAAUUCCCCUCCAAACUGCUCUCCUUUACUGUGACAGUAAAGCUGCUCUUCAUAUUGCGGCCAAUCCGGUUUUCCAUGAGCGUACCAAACACAUUGACAUUGAUUGUCAUGUGGUUCGUGAGAAAAUUAUAUCCGGUGUUCUUCGUACUUUUCAUGUCUCCUCUCAACACCAAUUGGCUGACAUUUUUACGAAGGCUCUCCCUUCGUCCCUUUUUCACUUGUUACUAUCCAAAAUGAGUAUUCAUAAUAUCUACUCUCCUUAACAGUUCUUUUAUGAAUCUCAUCUUGAGGGGGCGUAUUGAAUAUACUCAGCACACUCAAGUCUGCUAAUGGAUGAAGUGCAGACAUUGCAUUGAGAAGACAUUGCACUGAUGAGCUGGGAAACUAAAGCUGCUAUAACAAGCUUAGCAGACGGUUAGAGUAGGCACAGCAGGUGGUUAGAUUCUGUUGUAAAGUCUGGUAUUCUGUUGUAAAAUCUGUUAUUUAUAACUGAUUCUGUUACUAUACUACAUGAAGGCUAUAAAUAUUGUAUCAGUUGAAUCAAUGAAUAAUAAGAAAAUCAGUUAAACAUUUUCGUUUCCAAUAUCAUGCUUAUCCAAUAUCAAUCGAAACCAGUAAACGUCCAUGAAUGUUCUAAAUCACUGUAGCAAUCUGGAAGCAGAAAAAUUCUUGAUAUGAAUUAUUCAUAAACAUGCAUGUUCUAAAUAAGGCUUUUGAAUCCUACGCUGUUAUGUCAUUGCAAUCCAAGUCCAUGGUUAUGAGGGAAAUGCUCUGUUUCUGGCACCGGCCUCGUCUUCGCUUCAUCGUUGCUACCCGUUUAAUACUGUAAGUGCUGUGAUAUGCCUCACCAUUUCUUGUAGGUGCGAGGUUGAUGUUCGACAGCUGCAUCAUUACGAGGAAUGAGUCGGUCUCGUUUGCAAGACUUGAAGAAAACAAGAAAGCUGACAGAGGGAGUUUGAAGAACAGCAAGGCAGUCUUAUUAUUCUAUGUGAUUUCUACGGUGCAUAUACAUAGUUUAUAUAAAAAAGAUCUUGUCUAAAUAAAUAAACGGACAGACUAGCAACUAAUCUUUAGGAUUUAAUUACAAAAACUACAAUCAAACUAAAUCUCUAAGAUAUGAUUUACAACUCAAGCUUUAAUUGUUUUGAUUCCGAAUCCUAACAAGACUAGCCACCAAAUUACAUCCAAAUUACAUAUUUGAUUUUUUUCUUUUCCAGUUGCAAUCUGCGGCGGCAUCCCAUUUCCAGGAGCUAAGCUUUAACAAGGUUGCUUAUUCACAUUACUAUUUUGCAUGCAUAAAUCUAUGCUAGAAAUAUUUGGAACUAAUUACUUUGCCAACGCUUCUGUUUGCAUGAUAACACUACCCAAAAGUAGGCAAGGAACAGAGCAUUAGAAUUGGUUGUGAAACGAGGACAGCCCCUGGUUGAUCCGAGUGAUGGAGAAAACGUGGAUGAUUGGAGUUCUCCCAUGGUUCUGAGGUCUUGAAAGAGUUCGACAGCGCCUGUUUUAUUCAAGAAGCUUUUGGUCUUCGUCACCAGGCAUGAGGUAUUUUAGUUGUAAGGAUUCCUAGCUUCUCAGAACUGGAGCUCUGAUACCAUAAAGAAAAUGAUAAUGCAAAUGUUUUCUGUAUUUUCUUUUUUCAAUAUUGCAAAGCUGUACGACAUAUAUAUGCAGUUUACAUACAAUCUGAUCCACCAUUCUAGGAGCUAUUCUGGGAUUAUCUUUGAUAAACUGUUAAGGAAUCGAAAUGUCAAAGCAACCGAUCUCUUCACGGCGAAAUGUACUUCACAUAAAAAGCGCACUCCUAAAUAAAUAAAUAAUGUGAAUACACUAAGAAAGGGUGAUUGAAGUAAAGAUGCAACAACUGCUGCAUGCAUUGGUUCUUUUUUUAUAGAUGUAACACCCAAACCUUGCAUCAAAACUAACCAAAAAAAAAAAACGCAAAUUAAGUGACUCGAAAAUAUGCCAUGUAUCGAAUAAAGCUAAUAAUAAAAAUAAAAUCAAAACACAACCAUGAAGGAAAACAGAAGCAGUACGAAAGAGGAAUCCAAUUCUCUGAAUCUGCCACUCUAGCGUUCUUCUCAUGUCAACCUCCACUUCGUAUCUCAUAAGGUAGCGAGAAUGUUUAUUCAAAACUUCACUGCAACAGAGAAACAUACAAAUAUUUUUUUUAUUUAAUGAAUCCGAAAGCGAAAGAAAAGACUAAUAAAAGGAAAUAGCACAGAAAAAAUAGCAUAAACUGUUGCACGUAAAACCUUAAGAUGUCAAAUGCAUAACUUACCUCAUGUUACUAGCUCCGUUGUUUAGUUUCUUCUUGCACCAUUCCUACGAGCAUUCUUCUUCGUUCUUCUUGCCUUCAGAUUCCAUAGAUCUUCAACCACUUUCAGAAACCAUGCUGGUUUUCUUGUUCUGAACACAACGUAUCCCAUUGUGACUCCAAACACAAACCCACUUCCAUACCCUAUUGCCACAGCUUUCCAUCCAAAUCCUUCUUCAAAGAAUUUUGAAUCAUCUCCAUCGUGAAAGUCUGAUGGCUGCAAUGGUGGUGCCUCGUCACUUUUGCAUUCUUUUGGCAUGGGGAAUCCACAUAAGCCCCAGUUUCCUUCAAAUGAGCUUGCAUUGAACGUGCUGAACUGCGUUCCCCCGGGUACGGGCCCCUUAAGGUGGUUAUGUGAAAGGUUUAUGACUGCAAGAAAUGUUAGAUGUGCCAACUGUACUGGAAUCCUUCCGGUAAGCAAAUUCGAAGACAAAUCUAAUGAUUCCAGAUUGGUCAACAUUCCUAAUGAUGAUUGAAUAUGGCCUGUAAGGGAAUUAUGAGAGAGGUUGAGUUGUAGAAGUGCUUUAAGCUUUCCGAUCUCCUUUGGAAUCUCUCCGGUGAAACUGUUGCUUGACAAAUCAAGUAUUCCAAGAGAGCUUUGGAUUUUCGGAAACUCAAUAUCAAACCCUUUCCAUGUCACUUUUAUGGAAUAGGCAUAGUCAGAGUAACUUCUUGCCAUCAUGGAAACUGAAUUUUGAUCAGAGACCAUCAUUGCUUCAAAACUAUUAAAAUACCAUGUUGGCAAUGAUCCACUCAAAUUAUUGUUGGAGAUGUCGAAAAUCCGUAAUUUGGAGAAGGAAUUAUUAGCAAACGAACCAUUCAUAAAACCCUGGAGCUUAUUGGACUUUAGGACAAGAACAUGCAGCUCUGGAAGCAUUUGAAGGAAAUAGGGGAAUGCACCCUCAAUCUUAUUGUUGCCAAGAUCAAGAACUUCCAACGAUGUGCAGUUGAUGAUAGACGAUGGUAUUUUCCCUUCCAAUUCAUUGCCAUUUAGGUUGAGAUAUCCCAAGCUAUUCCCUUUUGAAAAUGGUGAAAAGAUAGUUCCUUGAAGAUUAUUCAUGCCAAGAUUCAAAAUUGAGAGAGAUUUGCUAAAGUUCCCUAAACAUUGUGGUAUAAAACCACUGAAGCUGUUGUUGGACAAAUCAAGGAGUCGAAGGAAUUUAAGCUUGCAAAUAGAAGAAGAAAUUUCACCUGUUAAUUUAUUAUUGGAUGCAAGAGCAAGGACUUCCAGGUUCUCUUGUUUGAAAAUUGAACUUGGGAUUGGACCAUGCAAGUGGUUGUUUCUCAAAUCAAACAAUUUCAAAGAACAUACUGAUUUGAGAAGGGAUAGGUCCUACAAGUUGAUUACUAGAUAAACGUAAAUUUUCAAGGAGAGUCAGGUUACCUAAAAAAUCUGGAAUCCUACCUGAAAAAUUAUUGCCAUCAAGAUAUAAGGAUUGAAGUUGUACAAGGUUUUUAAGUGAUGAUGGAAUCUGACCACUUAAAUUAGUACCUGAGAGUUCUAAACGAGUGAGGUGUGUGAGAUAGCCGAUCAGGGUUAGAUUUGACCUUGUGAUAUUAGAGUUUUUGAGAGCCAAAACUUCCAACGACUUUAGAUUUGUGAAGAAGUCAUUUUCUAAAUAAACUGAAAUUCUAGUAUGAGAAAGACCCAAUAACCGGAGGCUCUUACUCACAUUGGAUGAAGGAAAAGAGCCAGUGAGGUCGUCGUUGUAUGUCAAAUCAAGUUCUUGAAGGUUUGGUAGGAGAAAGAUGUUACCUGGGAACUUCCCUUUCAAUCCACAACCCCAAAGGCCAAGACCUAACAAGGAUGAGGACAGAUUCGCCAAGGAAUUAGGUGUGACCAAAGGCAUAUUUACAUAACCCAAACGGAGACCUCCUAGCUUGGUUAGGUUUUGAAUAAUCUUGUCAAAAGAACUUGGUUCUACAUUCAAAUUGUCAUUGAAAGACAGAUCAAUUGAAACCAACUCAGUGAGUUGGCCAAGAUCAUCUGGAAUUGAACCUGUAAGAUUGCUGUAUCUAAGAUCCAAGUGCUGGAGGUGCUUAAAUUUUCUCACUGAGGAUGGGAAUUUUCCUUGCAAUCCACAUGAAUAGACUGUGAGUGAUGACAAAGAAGAAGACAGAUUCAUCAAGGAAUUGGGUGCAGCCAAUGACAUGUUCACCCAUUUCAGAUAGAGUUUUCUAAGCUGGGUUAGAUUUUGAACAAGCUUGUCAAAAGAAAUUGGUUCUAGACUUAGAUAGUCGUUUUCGUUUCCAGAGAGAGCAAGUGAAACCAACUCAGUGAGUUGCUCAAGAUCAUAUGGAAUUGGACCUCUAAGAUUGUUAUCUGCAAGAUUCAACUGCUGGAGGUGCUUAAACUUUCUCAUUGAGGAUGGGAAUUCUCCUUGCAAUCCACAGGAAAGGAGUUUGAGUGAUGACAAAGAAGAAGACAGAUUCAUCAAGGAAUUGGGUGUAACCAAUGACAUGUCUACUGCACUCAGAUCGAGUUCUCUAAGCUGGGUUAGAUUUCGAGCAAGCUUGGCAAAAGAAAUUGGUUCUAGACUUAGAUAGUCGAUUUCGUUUCCAGAGAGAGCAAGUGAAACCAACUCAGUGAGUUGCCCAAGAUCAUCUGGAAUUGAACCUGUAAGACUGUUUUUUCUAAGAUCCAACUGCUGGAGGUGCUUAAAUUUUCUCAUUGAGGACGGGAAUUCUCCUUGCAAUCCACACGAAUAGAGUAUGAGUGAUGACAAAGAAGAAGACAGAUUCAUCAAGGAAUUGGGUACAACCAAUGACAUGUUUACCCGACUCAGAUCGAGUUCUCUAAGCUGGGUUAGAUUUCGAACAAGCUUGUCAAAAGAAAUUGGUUCUAGACUUGGGUAGUAGUUUCCAGAGAGAUCAAGUGAAACCAAUUUGGAGAGAUGAGAGAUUUCCGACGGAACUUGACCUGCAAAGCCUGAGAAAUUUAGGUUAAGAUGUGUCAGAUUGGAGAACUGGCCAAAUGAAGAAGAAAUAUGAGAGCUUUGGAAAUCAUUGUCAGAGAGGUCGAGGUUUUGAAGAUGAUGCAGGGAGAAGAGAGAAUUAUUGGGAAGGAAGGUUCCGUGAAGCAGCAGUCUGUACCCUCUUUCCACGACUCUGUCUUGGGAUGCUGGCAACGAUAUGAAGCAGAGCUAUUAAUGGAAAAGGACUCUUUGAAUUGGAGCAAAGAAAGGCUUUGGUCAGGAGCACAGAGAUGAGAUGAAGAGGAGUAAUUUGAUGAAGAAAUUGUUGUGUGAAAAUGGAAGAGAAACAGAAUGGAAGAGAGAAAUUGAGAGAGGGACAGUGGUGAAAACCCCAUGUUGGCUGGCCUUACAGGAUUCGAAAGUAUAUUUGGAGUGUUGAGCGAAAGAUGAGAAAUAAAGAUUCGCAUUGGAACUAUUUAUACACAAACCAAUCAAGAUUGUGCUAUUCAAAUUAUUGUAGAUAUUGAAAGCGGACUUUUACAUGAAAAUAAUUAUAAUAAGAAAAAAAAAAAACAGUUUAUUAGCUUACGACGUGGUCUGUCCACUGGGAAACAUGAGUGGCCAUAAACAAAGAAAGGAAAGUUCAGCGUAGUCACGAAGUCCUUUUUCUUGACCCCAAAGUCUUCGUUUCUAGCAAGGGUUGUUUGAUAUUGAGGUUACUGUUAUGGUUAUGGUUUUAAAAAAAUUGUUUUAUAAAAAAUAUUUUUAGUUGAGGUUGGUUUGAAAAAAUAUAUGUUUUGUUAAAAUUGUGGUUGAAAUUGAGGUUGAACAAAAAAUAGUUUAAUGUGUUUGGUAAAAAAAUACUUUUCAAAUUGAGGUUAUAAAAUAAUUAAUAUAUAUAUAUAUAUUAAUGAUUUUUAAUUUAAAUAUUUUAGAUUUAACCACUGUUAUUAUAUUAUAAAAUAAAUAUAAAGAAUCAAAUAUUAUCUUUCAUUAAACUAUAUGCAAUGUCAUUACAAUACAAAUCUAUCAACAAGGACUAUAUUUUUCAUGUUUUAAGCGCGCAACAACAAAAACUGAAUUUUUUAUCAUUAAGUGAUCCUUUAAGUUAAUAAAACACAAUAAAAAAAUAAAAAACUGAAUUUCUUUAUAUGUUAUUAAAUAUAUAAAUAUUAGUUUUUCAAGUAAAACACAUUUUUAAAAAAAAUUUACAAUUUAUUAUGUACAAAAUUCAUUCGACAAAACUACAGAAAAAAAAUUUUUGAGCGUGCAAUAAAUUAAGUAAAAUAUUAUCAUGAAUAAAAUUGAGAUUACAAUACGAGUAAAUUUAAUUCACCUUAAACUAAUGUUUUUUAAAAAUAACAUUGUUCAUGUUCACAUGAAUAAUGCGAGUAAAAUCAAUUAAUUGCAUUAAUAUUUCAAGAAAAAAAAACUUCUUGCAAUGUUUUUUAAAAAAAAAAAAAAAAAAAAACUAUAAUCGUGCGAGUGAAUUAAUUCACUCGCACUGUUGCAACAGUGGAGCCAUGCUCCACUGUUCUGCUUUUGAAUCCUAUGAGAAGCAACAAAUUUUGCUGCUUCUCCAAAACAUGUGGCGCGGCUGAGAAUUUGAUGGGUCCCACCAUCAAAAAGCAGUUUUCUUUUGUUAACCAAACGGCAUUUGGUGUGGCUGCGGGUGAACCUCAAAAUUUGUUACCAAACGGGCACUAAGUGGGUGUUUGGUUUUGUGGUUGCAGGUGAGGUUCACCCGCAACCACAUAUUUUAGUGUUUGGUAAUAGGAAAAAAAAUGAUUUUCACUGGUGGGACCAUCAAUUUUAACGGCUGCGUCACAGGUUCGGAGAAGCAGCAUUUUGCUGCUUCUCAUGCUGAGAAUAACAUCAACAGUGGAGCCAUGCUCCACUGUUCAUUGACACAUUGAACAGUGGAGCCAUGCUCCACUGCGCACUGUUCGCUAAGUGAAUAUUUUUUUUUUAAAAAAAAAAACCAUGAAAAUGAGUUUAAAUUUUUUUUUUGUUUUUUUAAAAAUUAUAAUAACAUACCAUUUAUGAAAUUUGAUCGCAAUUCCAAUUAUGUUAUUACCAAGUCCGGCCCAGUUAAAAAAAAUUCAGUUUUUAUUUUUAUUUUAAUUGUGUUCUAUUUAAAAAAUUAAAAAGAGAUCGUUUGAUGACGUAAUAAAAGAUUCAGUUUUUGUUAUUGUGCGCUUAAGAAACCAUGAAAAAUAUAGUCCUUGUUGGAUAGAUUUCGCAUGUGAUGACAUUGCACAUAGUGUAAUGAAAUAAUAAAAAAUAUUUGAUAUCAAUAUUAUUUAUUUCAUGAUGUAAUAACAGUAGUUAAAUUUACAAUAUUUAAAUUAAAAAUCAUUAAUAUAAAUAUAUAUAUUUUUUAAUUAUUUUAUAACCUCAAUUUGAAAAGCAUUUUUAUUAACCAAACACAUUAAACUACUUUUUUUUUAACCUCAAUUUCAACCAUAAUUUUAACCAAACACCUAUUUUUUCAAACCAACCUCAACUAAAAGUACUUUUUAUAGAACAAUUUUUUUUUAAAUCACAACCACAAAAGCUACUGCAAUACCAAACACAUCCUAAAUGAUUUCCCCGCAAAUUAGUGGUGCUAAUAAUUAAUUUUAUAGAUACUGGAUGUGGAAUUUUACAUGAAAAUAUUUUUAGGGAAAAAGAAUUACGACUGCUUUACAUACUGACUUUAGUUUCCAAAAAGAAAUCGAGGCACAACAUUUUCAAUAGAAAGAAUUGUUUUUUAAUAAUUUACAAACGUAGUUAAUUCACAUCUUAGGUAUGUGGCCAUGCAUGAUUUAAGCACCAAAACGUAGAUAAAGUAUACAAGAAAUUACUGUGUCUAUUAUUGAAUACCCUUUUAAUGUUUUGAACUUAAACUGUGAGAUUAUUGAAUAGAUCAUCCAUUUCUCUUUGGAGUACUAUUAAUGACUAAAAUGCCAUUAAAAUAAUUAGCAUGUUACUACCUGCUCCAUUUUAAUGAUUUGAUUUGAAGUGGUAGUCCUAAAAGACGUUUCCAUAAUUCAAGUGCAAGCUAUUUAAUUUAUUUAUUUUAUUGUUGCUAGCGAACUCUUCUUUGUUUCUUUUUCAUGAGUUGCCUAUAGAGCAAACGGUUUUUUAUUGUAUAAUCUACGUUCACAAAUGAAGUGGCUCCAUGAUUUUUGUUGAGAGUAGAUAAUAUCCCUACAUUUACAUUUGCAGCAAGUUUUUGUGCCAGUCUUCGGUGCUGAAUAUGGAAUUGAAGAUUGAAUUAUUCAAUUAUAAAUAUUUCUGUACAAGUAGGUCCCUUAGUUGACUAAACAAUAGUGUUGGAAACACGGCAAUAUUAAUUUUUAUAAUUGAUAUUUUUUGUGGAAAUUAUUUCUUAAUAUUCAUAUAUAUAAUUCAUUAACAAUUUUGGGUAAAGAGACGUAAGGAUGAUAUCCCUUCAUAUUUACAUCUGCAGAAAGUGUAUGUGCUAAUAGAUACAGUUUGUGCUGUAAUUAGAAAUUUUUUUGUAGCUCGUCUGAUGGUCUGUCCUUUUCCUCCUUGACCUAACUUGGAAAUAAUGUCCAACAAUUACGUGUGGAAAUGAUGGAAUUGAAUGUUGAAUUAUUCAAUUGCAAAUAUUUCCAUACCAGUAGGUCCCUUAAUAUUUCCGUACCUCCUUGACUAUAAUGUGAAUCUCAGAAGCAGGCAUUGUCCCACCUCUGGACUUCGAGCAAAAGCUCUUGAAAAAAUUGGGAAUUGUAUAUGACUUAUUCCCUGGGAAACAUAAGUGGCCGUAAACAAAGAAUGGAAUGUACAGCGGAGUCACGGAACUAAACUACCAAAGUCUUUUAGGGGAAAUCACUUACGACUUGGUCUGUCCUUUUACUUGACCCCAAAGUCUUUGUUUCUGGUAAAUAAUUUUCCCGCAAAUUAAUUAAUCUUAUAGAUAUUGGAGGUGGGAUUUUACAUGAAAAUAUUAUUAGGGAAAAAAAUUGUGACUGCUUAAUGUGAAUGUUCAGAGAAGUUUUUCUAAAGUGUAUUUAGGAAUGGAAUUUAUGUGAAGCUUGCUUUACAUACUGAAUUUAAUUUCCCAAAAAAAAAAAAAAUCCGACCACAAAAUUUUUCAAUAAUUUACAAACGUAGUUAAUUCACAUCUUAGGUAUGUGGCCAUGCUUGAUUUAAGCACCAAAACGUAGAUAAAGUAUACAAGAAAUUACUGUGUCUAUUAUUGAAUAGAUCAUCCAUUUCUCUUUAGAGUAAUAUUAAUGCAUAUAAAUCUCAUAAUAUUCUUUAUAUUUAUGUUAGCUGUAUAGCAUCUCAAGGGCUUUUUUCUAUUUGAAGGUUUUAUUAUUAUUGCAUUCUACCUCAAAAUCAAUAAAACUUUGAUUAUUAUAUAUAUAUAUAUAUAUAAAAUCAUAUUAAAUCAUUAUUGUUCACAACUUUGUGUACCCAUCGAGCAAAUCGGAUGUGUCCAAUUGGAGAGAUAAAAUUAUGGAAGGAAAAAUAUUGGAAACCAAAUAUAGAAGAUAAAAAACUGAUCCUUUAGUCAAAUAAAAUACGUUCUAGCAAAUUCCUCAAGUGAUUUUAAAUCUAAGAGCAACCUAUUUAAUUAGAAUAUUUCAUUUAUAUUUUUUAGUAGAGAUUCCUAAUGACAUUUUUUCUUGAACAAGUGAUUUCUCGGCACUCCUCAAAUAAUUUCUAGCCUGACAGACAAACAAACAAAUAAAUCACUUAAAAUUCUCAAACAAUUAUAUAUAUAUCACAGUUAAUUACUUUUUGACAUUUUUUAUCACAUUUUAUUUAUUUAUUUAUUUAUUUUAUAAGUUGGUGAUUAUUUUUUAUAGAAUGUUUACGCACAUAUUGAAUAGAUAUGAACGUCAAUUACCUCACAAAGGGUGUAAGCAAAGGGGAAAAAAAAGAACAAAAAAAGAGGAAAAGUAAAUACUUGAGAUAUAUAAAAUAUGACUAAAAUGACUAAAAUGAGAAACCCUAUGUCAAACUAUCGCUUUAUAUUAUUUUAAAUGACUAAAAUGCCAUUAUAAUAAUUAGCAUGUUACUACAUUUUAAAUGAGUUUAUGAUUUGAAUUGGUAGUCCUAAAAGUUCUUUCUUUUUUCAAGUCUGUCCCUUUCAUUGACCUUCAAGUCUCCGCAACUAAUUAAAAUAUAGUGUCAAACAAGUGGCGCAAAACAUGGGGCUGAAGGUUUAAUUAUUGAAAACUUCAAUAUUUCCAAGUGUUGGAAACACCGCAAUAUAUAUUAGUUUGCAGGAUAAUUUUUGUAAUAUUGGGCUUUUGUUGCGGAGUAAUUGAUUAAUUCAAGUGUUUUUUAUUUAAGAAUAUAUUAAAAUAAUAUUUUUUAUUUUUUAAUAAUUAUUUUUAAAAUCAGUAUAUUAAAAUGUUACUACAUUUUAAAUGAGUUUAUGAUUUGAAUCGGUAGUCCUAAAAGUUCUUUCUUUUUUCAAGUGUGUCCCUUUCAUUGACCUUCAAGUCCCCGCAACUAAUUAAAAUAUAGUGUCAAACAAGUGGCGCAAAACAUGGGGCUGAAGGUUUAAUUAUUGAAAACUUCAAUAUUUCCAUACAAGUGUUGGAAACACGGCAAUAUAUAUUAGUUUCCAGGAUAAUUUUUGUAAUAUUGGGCUUUUGUUGCGGAGUAAUUGACUGUUUGAGAUUACUGAUAGUAGUUAUGAAUUAAAGUGUUUUUUAUUUAAAAAUAUAUUAAAAUAAUAUUUUUUAUUUUUUAAUAAUUAUUUUUAAGAUCAGCACAUUAAAAUGAUUUAAAAAAUAAUUUUUAGAGAAUUUUAUUUUUGAAAUUUAAGGGAAUGCGGUUUCAAUCGCGUUCCCAAACGAUAAAUGUUUGGAAAUAUAGUUGUGGUUACUUUUCAAAGUGUUUUUCACUUGAAAAUGUAUCAAAAUAAUAUUUUUUUUUUAAAAUAUUAUUUUUGAUAUUAGUGCAUCAAAAUGAUCUUAAAAAAAAAAAAAUUUCUUUUUCAAAAACACUUUUAAAAUACAAAAACAAACAAAACCUCUAAAUCAUAUACAUAAUAAGAAUAUGCAAUGAGUUUUUUUUCUUAAUGAAAUACGAGAGAUUUAUUCGAUCACUAUUAUAGCCAUUAAAAACAUAGCUUAAUAGAUAGAAAGAAGAGCACUGAAAAACUCAGAAGAGUGAGAAAACUUACUAGCACAACUAAAUCCACAACUAAGUCAUUUUCUCUAAGAACUCUUGCUUGACUAAAUGAUCUGCAACAAUAUUAUUUCUUGUAUAUAAUUUUUCAAAAAAAAAAAAUGAACACACAAGAUUCUCAAAAGGAUGAAUUUUCUUUAGUAAUUUACACGUAUAGUUAAUUCACAGCUUAGGCAAAUGGCAAGAUUCCUCGAUUAAAUAAUAUUUUAUUUCAUUAAUAAAUUUUCAUCAUACCAAGGGAAUUAAUUUGUAGAUGUUUAAUUGUAUUGUAAUUUUUCGACUUCAAAGAUUUUGAGAAUACUCCAAUUGCAUAACUUGGAAAUUCUAGGGUUCUAUCGUGGAAAUGGAGGAUUACAAAAAAGGUUUUAGGGAUGAGCUUUUUGCACCAAAGGCUGCACCUUCCAGCUAUAAAGAUGGAUUUCCAAGGUUUGAUAACAGCCAUUUAAAUAGCUUUUAGACCGACAAUUACAUGAAAGGAAAAAUUAGAAUUUCAAAACUGGUGGGAUAAGUAAUAUAAAAUCUAAAAUUACGUUAAAAAUUCAAAAUUCUACGCCUGAUUUGAAGUCCUUACCGAAGAAGUGGGCGAAGCCAGCGCUCCUAAAUAAAUUUGAGCGUGUUUUAACUGUCAUAUAAAAAGUUACAGUUUAUUUAUUUUUAUAACUAUAGGUAUUCGAGCUGGUUUGUCCAUACCUCAACUAAUUUCACGGGUUUUGAAGUUAAUAAACAUAUAAGUCUCUAGUAGUCCUAAGAUUUGUAAGAUUUGAACUGGUGAUCUCUAAAGAGCAAACUUAAAACUUGACCAAUUAAAUUACACCCUUCAAAAUUAAUUAUAGUCUAUUUUAUUAUACAGGUCAUUUAGCGCGAUGAGAUCACUUAUUGAGUUUAAAUUAAUUUGUCUAUAUGAUCCAAUAAAAUAUUUGCUAGGUUAUUUAUAUUGUCCAACUGAGAUAGAUUUGUAUCCAAUUGAUCACAUCCUCCUGCAUCAAAGAUUAUUACAUGGCUAAUAAUCAAUAAUGUACAAUCUCUCAAACUAUAUCGUGCAAUUAUUGAGGUAUCCAUAGACAUCUUAAUUUAAUUAAAUCGAAGUAUGAGGAAAUAAAGUUGUUAUGGUUGUCUCUCAUGGAAUUAAAAAGCUAAUCCUAAAAGGUGUAAUUUAACUAGUUAGAUUCUAAAUUUUUUUUUUAGGUCACCAGUUAAUUCAAGUUCUACAAAACUUAUGGCCACUAAAAACAUAAAUAAUCGUUAAUUUUAGGGUCCAUAAAAUUAAUUGAAAUACAUACAAAUUAACCCGGACACCAAAGUUAAUAAUAAUAAUAAUAAAAAAAAGCUUGUACAUAAGUUUUCACUCUGUUCCUGGUUUAUUAAAUCUCUUGUCAUGACCUAUUUCAUUGGUGGCUCGCCCCAUGCAAUUAAUAUUCAUGUGGAUUAUCCAAAGUAGCAUUUGAAUUCUGUAAAUUAACUUCCUUUUUGUUCAAUUUCCUAUGUCUUUAAAAUUUUGUUAUGGACAUAAGCCUAAUUAAGUAGACAACAUUGUAGUUUCGAUAUGCCAUAAUUUUUAUCUGAAUGUCCGAUUGAGGCUUGUGAAAACAAUGUAAAAAAAGAGAGAGAAGGGAAUUGAACUAGUUUGAAGAGUUUGAUUUAUGUAAUUCAUAAUCAAAAUCUGGAAUUAGCUAGAUUUGAAGCAAAGUGUGCUACGUACAAUGGCUAAUUUUAUCCUGAAAAUUCCCAUUUUGACCUGUGAGGCUAAGGCAAAUGAAACAGUUGCUAAUAAACAUUUCAUCCAUAGUUUUGAAACCCAGCCCAACACGGUAGGUCAACCCGUGAUCCGGAUGAUCCAGGGCUGUAAUAGGACCGGGUUGAAGAAAAAACAAAAGAAAAAAAAAUCUGGUGUAACCUGGUGGGCUGGUCAAGACCCGGCCUUAAACUCGUUGACUUUUAUUUUAUUUUUAUUUUUGUUUUAUUAAAACGACGUUGUUUUGAUUUUAAAAAAAAUGCCUUGGAUCGGGCCGGCCACCAAGCCGGGUCUUAAAAAUAUGAUUUCAUCUAACAUAUACACAUAAUUAAAGCAAAACAUUCAUGACUCUUUGGCAGAAUGUCGAUAGUUACUGGCCUUAGAGAGCAUAUUGUUAGAACCACUUAGGUGGAGAUUAGUGGUUCGGUCUAUGCCAUUAAGGUUACAGAAAAACCAUGCUUAGAGGUUAAUUCAAGUAGGGUUGAUAAAAAGAAGGUUGUGGAAAAUUGGGCUGGGAAGUUGAAUCCUUCCAACUUUGAUACUUUAGAAUCCUCCCAACAUGAUUCUCUCAAAUCAUCAUAUGCUGCUGCUGAGUAAUUUUGUUCUGAGGAGCCAAUGGAAGCUGGAAUACAUGGAGCAAAAAUUGAUGACACGAAUGAGACUGCUGUAUGUAGCCAUGGUAUGGAUAGGGAAUUCUCUUUUUGUGAUCCUGGGUGAACAUGUACUGCCUGAAAGAAUUAACAAGAAGGGUACUUUGAAUGUUGAUUUGCUUUCUCCAGAGAAGGGUUCUUUGAGGAAAUCUGUUGCUGAGGAGACAGAAACAACCGAUACCGACCCGAUAAAUGCAACGCUGCACUAACAAGCUUCCCUGCUACCAUAGCUGCUAUAAAAAGCAAUGGAGUCCAAAUUGUUGAAAAGCAGUCAGAGGAAAAUUUAAAUAUUGAUGGUGGGCUUAUCUCUAAUGCUUAUAUGGAUGAGUGGAGGAAUGGAUCACAGUGUAUUGGGCUAGAGGAAAACACACUCUCAAUAGUUCCAGUUAACACACAUGAGCCUCUGUUAACUACUUACUAUAAGGCUUCGGACCAACAACUGAUCUCAUUCAUGCUUAAAUGGCCCGGUGAAAUAUAAUAAAAACAAGAUGUUUGAGGUCUUCAUCACACCUAUAGCAGAACCAGAGGAGGUAGCUGAACUAGAGAAGGAAAAGAAGAGAAGUUCGAACAAAAGAAAGAAGAAACUUUCCUUAAAAUCAGCAACUCGUAAGGGGAGAACAUCAAGAAGUAGAAAAGAGAAGUCUGCUAACCUGGAAGAGUGAACUUUAGCAAUUAGAUCGACAAGGGGAAUCAAGAAAUGGAUUCCAGAUGGCAGCGUCUUCAAGUACUUUCCAAAUCUCUGUACGACAAACGCUUUCUUCUCCGGCACAAUCCGUACCCCCCAAUUCACAGGUGGCGUAAUCUCAUAACUAAUUAAUUAUAAUAAAUUAAUAAAAAAAAAUGGAAGAAAGACAGGGAGGGAAUGGGGAAUGAAUGUACCUGGUGAAGGGGUCGCGGCCGGUGCUGAGGAGGCGGACGGAGAUGGUGGAGGAGAGAGGAGAGGAAAGGCGGUUGUUUUGGGCUAAGUGAAAAGAAGGGGGUUUAAAUAAGGGAGAAUUGGAGGAGGGAGCGAGGAGGGUUCUGCCUCUGGAAGCGGUGGAAGCCGAUAAGGAGGAGAGGUGGUGGGAGGUUCUUACGGCGUUGUUGAGUAAUAAAUGACUCCUCCUCCUCCACAUUUUUCCGUCUCUCUUUGUUGUUGCUGUUGAAAAACCCUUGGCCUCCUUAAUUAUCGAACCCUCCCUCACUCUCACACUCUUCACUCUGAUCUGCUCUGCUGACCCUCUCCCCAAGUCACCCUCUCUCUUUUGUUCCCCCUCUGCCCACUCAAAUAAUUUAUUUUCCGAAGUUGUAAUUGACAGUGUGUGGUGGGUGGGUUUUGUUUUAGGCCCGACGUUUUAUAAUGGGCCUGUCUUUUUUUUCUUUUAGAGUUUUUGUUAAAGAAUUGAGAAAAUCGAGACUAAUAAUCUCUGAACAUGAAGAACAAUGAGAGAACGGCAUGAUUUUUAUAAUUUUAAUUUUAAUUUCUUAAGUUAGAGAGCUUAGAUUUAUAUAAAAGUGAGGUUUUACAAUUCAUGAAUAAUAAGACAAUUUAAUCAUAUUUAAUCAGAAAAACAAUAGGAUUAGAGGAUAAAAAGUAAUCCAAAUUACUUUGAUUGUUCGAACAAAUUCGGGUAGUAAAUUUCUUAAAGUUUCGGAGAAGAGGUAAUUCAGAGAGAAUUACCUCACAUUUAUUUGAGAUAAUUCAUUUAAAAUUCAAAAAUUUAAAUCAUCCAAAUUAUAAUUCUAAUUUAUUUGUAAGGUUUUAGAAAUAAUGAGAUUGAAAUUUUUCUUAGUAAAAAAUUUCUUGAGCCUAGUUUUAUUAAUCCAUAUUUUAAUGAAUUUCUUAUAAAAACUUAAUGGGGAAAUGGUAACAAUAGUAUUAAUUUUGGAUUACCUGAUUUUUUCAAAAUAGGGUUUAUACAUACUGCUAUAAAUUGAUAAUAAUAUUUGCAUCUCAGAAACAUAGAAACAUUUGAUCGUAAAUCUUCUGUUACUUUUGUGUUGCAUUAAUUACUGCUUGGAUCGACACGAAGGUAAAGAGCUAAGCAAGUUAGCUAGUAAUUUAACCGAUAAUAAUUAAGUAUUAAAGUGUUAAUCAAGAAAAAAAACAUUUCUAGUUUGAAUCUUAUCACUUGGAUUUCCCAACCCAACUUACAUAUAAGUAUGUGAUUGAUUAAAACUCUCGAGUUGAUAAAUUUUUGACCGUGAUUUAGCUCUCGAAAGUGAUCACUCACCCGUAGGCUAUGUCAGGAGUGAGUGCUUGCUAUGGAUAUAAGAAGAAGAAAAAAAAAAACGAAGGUAUGGAGCUCUACGUAUCCUUGUUAUUAGUAAAGGUUAUAUUCAUGUGGAAAAGUGGUUAUCUCUUACAUGAACUUUGGUGCUCCCUUCAAAAGACUGAAGAAUUUGAAAGUAGAAUGCAAAUGUGAUUCAUAUGUGCUACCGGCGAAUAUCUCAACCUUCUUACGUGAUGCUGAAUACAUAAAAAUGGGAGAACGAAGCGAAGAAGGAAUCGUAGGUAAGUACAUUUUCAUAAUUUUAUUUCUAUUUGCAGUCUGAAUCUUAAUUGAUUUUCGUUGAUUGUUAAUAUUCUCAAUCAAUUUCAUUGCUUAAUCUCGUUUGCCGUAUUCAUGCUUAUCCAAUAACAAUCGAAACCAGUAAACGUCCAUGAAUGUUCUAAAUCACUGUAGCAAUCUGGAAGCAGAAAAAUUCUUGAUAUGAAUUAUUCAUAAACAUGCAUGUUCUAAAUAAGGCUUUUGAAUCCUACGCUGUUAUCUCAUUGCAAUCCAAGUCCAUGGUUACGAGUGAAAUGCUCUGUUUCUGGCACCGGCCUCGUCGCUUCAUCGUUGCUACCCGUUUAAUACUGUAAGUGCUGUGAUAUGCCUCACCAUUUCUUGUAGGUGCGAGGUUGAUGUUCGACAGCUGCAUCAUUACGAGGAAUGAGUCGGUCUCGUUUGCAAGACUUGAAGAGAACAAGAAAGCUGACAGAGGGAGUUUGAAGAACAGCAAGGCAGUCUUAUUAUUCUGUGUGAUUUCUACUGUGCAUAUACAUAGUUUAUAUAGAAAAGAUCUUGUCUAAUAAGUAAACUGACAGACUAGCAACUAAUCUUUAGGAUUUAAUUACAAAAACUACAAUCAAACUAAAUCUCUAAGAAAUGAUUUACAAAUCAAGCUUUAAUUGUUUUGAUUCCGAAUCCUAACAAGACUAGCCACCAAAUUACAUCCAAAUUACAUAUUUGGUUUUUUUUUUUUUCCAGUUGCAAUUUGCGGCGGCAUCGCAUUUCCAGAAGCUAAGCUUUAACAAGGUUGCUUAUUCACAUUACUAUUUUGCAUGCAUAAAUCUAUGCUAGAAAUAUUUGGAACUAAUUACUUUGCCAACGCUUCUGUUUGCAUGAUAACACUACCCAAAAGUAGGCAAGGAACAGAGCAUUAGAGUUGGUUGUGAAACGAGGACAGCGCCUGGUUGAUCCGAGUGAUGGAGAAAAAGUGGAUGAUUGGAGUUCUCCCAUGGUUCUGAGGUCUUGAAAGAGUUCGACAGCGCCUGUUUUAUUCAAGAAGCUUUUGGUCUUCGUCACCAGGCAUGAGGUAUUUUAGUUGUAUGGAUUCCUAGCUUCUCAGAACUGGAGCUCUGAUACCAUAAAGAAAAUGAUAAUGCAAAUGUUUUCUGUAUUUUCUUUUUUCAAUAUUGCAAAGCUGUACGACAAAUAUAUGCAGUUUACAUACAAUCUGAUCCACCAUUCUAGGAGCUAUUCUAGGAUUAACUUUGAUAAACUGUUAAAGAAUCGAAAUGUCAAAGCAACCAAUCUCUUCACGGCGAAAUGUACUUCACAUAAAAAGCGCACUCCUAAAUAAAUAAAUAAUGUGAAUACCCUAAGAAAGGGUGAUUGAAGUAAAGAUGCAACAACUGCUGCAUGCAUUGGUUCUUUUUUUAUAGAUGUAACACCCAAACCUUGCAUCAAAGUUAACCAAAAAAAAAACACGCAAAUUAAGUGACUCGAAAAUAUUCCAUGUAUCGAAUAAAGCUAAUAAUAAAAAUAAAAUUAAAACACAACCAUGAAGGAAAACAGAAGCAGUACGAAAGAGGAAUCCAAUUCUCUGAAUCUGCCACUCUAGCGUUCUUCUCAUGUCAACCUCCACUUGGCAUCUCAUAAGGUAGCGAGAAUGUUUAUUCCAAACUUCACUGCAAUAGAGAAACAUACAAAUAAUUUUUUUUAUUUAAUGAAUCCGAAAGCGAAAGAAAAGACUAAUAAAAGGAAAUAGCACAGAAAAAAUAGCAUAAACUGUUGCACGUAAAACCUUAAGAUGUCAAAUGUUUGCAUAACUUACCUCAUGUUACUAGCUCCGUUGUUUAGUUUCUUCUUGCACCAUUCCUACGAGCAUUCUUCUUCGUUCUUCUUGCCUUCAGAUUCCAUAGAUCUUCAACCACUUUCAGAAACCAUGCUGGUUUUCUUGUUCUGAACACAACGUAUCCCAUUGUGACUCCAAACACAAACCCACUUCCAUACCCUAUUGCCACAGCUUUCCAUCCAAAUCCUUCUUCAAAGAAUUUUGAAUCAUCUCCAUCGUGAAAGUCUGAUGGCUGCAAUGGUGGUGCCUCGUCACUAGUGCAUUCUUUUGGGAUGGGGAAUCCACAUAGGCCCCGGUUUCCUUCAAAUGAGCUUGCAUUGAACGUGCUGAACUGCGUUCCCCCGGGUACGGGCCCCUCAAGCUGGUUAUGUGAAAGGUUUAUGACUGCAAGAAAUGUUAGAUGUGCCAACUGUACUGGAAUCCUUCCGGUAAGCAAAUUCGAAGACAAAUCUAAUGAUUCCAGAUUGGUCAACAUUCCUAAUGAUGAUGGAAUAUGGCCUGUAAGGGAAUUAUGAGAGAGGUUGAGUUGUUGAAGUUCUUUAAGCUUUCCGAUCAUCUUUGGAAUUUCUCCGAUGAAACUGUUGUUUGACAAAUCAAGUAUUCUAAGAGUGCUUUGGAUUUUCUCGAACUCAUACUCAACCCCUUUCCAUGUCACUUUCAUGGAAUAGUCCAUCAUGUAAAAUGAAUUUUGAUCAGAGGCCAUCAUUGCUUCAAACAUAUUGAAAUACCCUAUUGGUAAAGGUCCCCUCAAAUUAUUGUUGGAGAUGUCAAAGAUUUGCAAUUUGGAGAAGGAAUUAUUAGCAGUCGGAUCAUUCACAAAACCAUGGAGCUUAUUGGACUUUAGGACAAGGAUAUACAGCUCUGGAAGCGUUUCUAGAAAAUAGGGAAAUCUGUCCUCAAUUUUAUUGUCACUAAGAUCAAGAACUUGUAGCAUUGUGCAGUUGAUGAUAGACGAUGGUAUUUUCCCUUCCAAUUCAUUGCCAUUUAGCUUGAGAUAUACCAGGUUAUUCCCUUUUGAAAAUGGUGAAAAGAUAGUGCCUUGAAGAUUAUUCAUGCCAAGAUUUAAAAGUGAGAGAGAGUUGCUAAAGUUCCCUAAACAUUGUGGUAUAAAACCAUUGAAGCUGUUGUUGGACAAAUCAAGGACUCGAAGGAAUUUAAGCUUGCAAAUAGAAGAAGAAAUUUCACCUGUCAAUUUACUGUUGGAUGCAAGAACAAGGGCUUCCAGGUUCUCUUGUUUGAAAAUUGAACUUGGGAUUGGACCUUGCAAGUGGUUGUUUCUUAAAUCAAACAAUUUCAAUGAACGAGUACUGAUUUGAGAAGGGAUAGGUCCUACAAGUUGAUUACCAGAUAAACCUAAAUUUUCAAGGAGGUCAUGUUACCUAAAAAAUCUGGAAUCCUACCUGACAAAUUAUUGCCAUCGAGAUAUAAGGAUUGAAGUUGCACAAGGUUUUUAAGUGAUGAUGGAAUCUCACCACUCAAAUUGUUAUUGGCAAGGUCUAACCGAGUCAGCUGUGUGAGAUAACCAAUCAGGGUUAGAUUUGACCUUGUGAUAUUACAGUCUCUGAGAACCAAAUCUUCCAGCAACUUUAGAUUAUUGAAGAAGUCAUUUCCUAAAUAAACUGAAAUUCUCGUACGAGUGAGACCCAAUAACCAGAGGACAUUACUCACAUUGGAUGAAGGAAAAGAGCCAGUGAGGUUGUCGUUGUAUGUCAAAUCAAGCACUUCAAGGUUUGGUAGGAGAAAGAUGUUAUCUGGGAACCUCCCUUGCAAUCCACAACCCCAAAGAGCAAGAGCUGACAAAGAUGAUGACAGAUUCGCCAAGGAAUUAGGUAUGACCAAAUCCAUAUUUACAUAACCCAAACGGAUACCUCUUAGCUUGGUUAGGUUUUGAAUAGUCUUGUCAAAAGAACUUGGUUCUACACUCAAAUAAGCAUUGAAAGAGAGAUCAAUUGAGACCAACUCAGUGAGUUGCCCAAGAUCAUCUGGAAUUGAACCUGUAAGAUUGUUUUUUCUAAGAUCUAACUUCUGGAGGUGCUUAAACUUUCUCAACGAGGAUGGGAAUUUUCCUUGCAAUCCACAGGAAUAGAGUACAAGUGAUGACAAAGAAGAAGACAGAUUCAUCAAGGAAUUGGGUACAACCAAUGACAUGUUCACCCACCACAGAUGGAGUUCUCUAAGCUGGGUUAGAUUUUGAACAAGCUUGUCAAAAGAAAUUGGUUCUAGACUUAGAUAGUCGUUUUCGUUUCCAGAGAGAGCAAGUGAAACCAACUCAGUGAGUUGCUCAAGAUCAUAUGGAAUUGAACCUGUAAGAUUGUUAUCUGCAAGAUCCAACUGCUGGAGGUGCUUAAAUUUUCUCAUUGAGGAUGGGAAUUUUCCUUGCAAUCCACAUGAAUGGAGUACAAGUGAUGACAAAGAAGAAGAUAGAUUCAUCAAGGAAUUGGGUUCAACCAAUGACAUAUUCACCCACCUCAGAUAGAGUUCUCUAAGCUGGGUUAGAUUUUGAACAAGCUUGUCAAAAGAAAUUGGUUCUAGACUUAGAUAGUCGUUUUCGUUUCCAGAGAGAGCAAGUGAAACCAACUCAGUGAGUUGCCAAGAUCAUCUGGAAUUGACCUGUAAGAUUGUUAUCUGCAAGAUCCAACUGCUGGAGGUGCUUAAACUUUCUCAUUGAGGACGGGAAUUCUCCUUGCAAUCCACAGGAAAGAGUUUGAGUGAUGACAAAGAAGAAGACAGAUUCAUCAAGGAAUUGGGUUAACCAAUGACAUGUCUACUGCACUCAGAUCGAGUUCUCUAAGCUGGGUUAGAUUUCGAGCAAGCUUGGCAAAAGAAAUUGGUUCUAGACUUAGAUAGUCUUUUAAGCCCCCAGAGAGAUCAAGUGAAACCAAUUUGGAGAGCUGAGAGAUUUCCGACGGAACUUGACCUGCAAAGACUGAGUAAUUUAGGUUAAGAUGUGUCAGGUUGGAGAGCUGACCAAAUAGAGAAGAAAUAUGGGAGCUUUGGAAAUCAUUGUCAGAGAGGUCGAGGUUUUGAAGAUGAUGCAGGGAGAAGAGGGUGCUAUUGGAAUGGAGGGUGCCAUAAAGCAUGCUGCAAGCAAGGUCCAGUCCAGUGACAUGCCCUGUUUUCAUGUCACAGGUGAUGCCAUCCCACAAGCAGCAGUCUGUACCCUCUUUCCACGACUCUGUCUUGGGAUGCUGGCAACGCCCUGAAGCAGAGCUACUAAUGGAAAAGGACUCUUUGAAUUGGAGCAAAGAAAGGCUUUGGUCAGGAGCACAGAAAUGAGAUGAAGAGGAGUAAUUUGAUGAAGAAAUUGUUGUGUGAAAAUGGAAGAGAAACAGAAUGGAAGAGAGAAAUUGAGAGAGGGACAGUGGUGAAAACCCCAUGGUGGCUGGGCUUACAGGAUUCGAAAGUAUAUUUGGAGUGUUGAGCGAAAGAUGAGAAAUAAAGAUUCGCAUUGGUACUAUUUAUACACAAACCAAUCUACGUUCACAAAUGAAGUGGCUUUAUGAUUUUUGUUGAGAGUAGAUAAUAUCCCUGCAUUUACAUUUGCAGCAAUUUUCAUUUGGUCCUGAAUAUGGAAUUGAAGGUUGAGUUAUUCAAUUGCAAAUAUUUCCGUACAAGUAGGUCCCUUUGUUGACUAAACAAUAGUGUUGGAAACACGGCAAUAUUAAUUUUUAUAAUUGAUAUUUUUUGUGGAAAUUAUUUUUUACUAUUCAUAUAUAUAUAGUUCAUUAACUAAUGAAGUAUUGAUCUAGCGAUUAAGAAGGUACCGCUAGGGGCAAGGGUGAGAACACAAGUUCGUUUUUCAAGGAGCAUAUUUGUUGGGAGGGACAACUAUAAAUCCCGAACGGGACUAAUCUCAUCCUUUUGCAUGAGUUGUCUAUAGAGGAAACGAUUUAUUAUUUUAUAAUUUACUGGCUCCAUGAUUUUUGUUGAGAGUAGAUAGUAUCCCUACAUUUACAUUUGCAACAAGUUUAUGUGCCAAUCUUCAUUUGGUGCUGAAUAUGGAAUUGAAGGUUGAAUUAUUCAAUUGCAAAUAUUUCUAUACAAGUAGGUCCCUUAGUUGACUAAACAAUAGUGUUGGGAACACGACAAUAUUAAUUUUCAUAAUUGAUAUUUUUUGUGGAAAUUAUUUUUUACUAUUCAUAUAAAUAGUUCAUUAACUAAUGAAGUAUUGGUCUAGCGAUUAAGGCACCGCUAGGGGCAAGGGUGAGAACACAAGUUCGUUUUUUAGGGAGCACAUUUGUUGGGAGGGACAACUAUAAAUCCCAAACGGGACUAAUCUCACCCUUUUGCAUGAGUUGUCUAUAAAGGAAACGAUUUAUUAUUUUAUAAUUUACUGGCUCCAUGAUUUUUGUUGAGAGUAGAUAAUAUCCCUACAUUUACAUUUGCAACAAGUUUAUGUGCCAAUCUUCAUUUGGUGCUGAAUAUGGAAUUGAAGGUUGAAUUAUUCAAUUGCAAAUAUUUCUAUACAAGUAGGUCCCUUAGUUGACUAAACAAUAGUGUUGGAAACACGGCAAUAUUAAUUUUCAUAAUUGAUAUUUUUUGUGGAAAUUAUUUUUUACUAUUCAUAUAAAUAGUUCAUUAACUAAUGAAGUAUUGGUCUAGCGAUUAAGGCACCGCUAGGGGCAAGGGUGAGAACACAAGUUCGUUUUUCAGGGAGCACAUUUGUUGGGAGGGACAACUAUAAAUCCCAAACGGGACUAAUCUCACCCUUUUGCAUGAGUUGUCUAUAAAGGAAACGAUUUAUUAUUUUAUAAUUUACUGGCUCCAUGAUUUUUGUUGACAGUAGAUAAUAUCCCUACAUUUACAUUUGCAACAAGUUUAUGUGUCAAUCUUCAUUUGGUGUUGAAUAUGGAAUUGAAGGUUGAAUUAUUCAAUUGCAAAUAUUUCUAUACAAGUAGGUCCCUUAGUUGACUAAACAAUAGUGUUGGAAACACGGCAAUAUUAAUUUUCAUAAUUGAUAUUUUUUGUGGAAAUUAUUUUUUACUAUUCAUAUAUAUAGUUCAUUAACUAAUGAAGUAUUGAUCUAGCGAUUAAGGCACUGCUAGGAGUAAAGGUGAGAACACAAGUUCGUUCUUUAGGGAGCACAUUUAUUGGGAGGGACAACUAUAAAUACCGAACAGGACUAAUCUCACCCUUUUGCAUGAGUUGUCUAUAGAGGAGACGAUUUCUUAUUUUAUAAUUUACUGGCUCCAUGAUUUUUGUUGAGAGUAGAUAAUAUCCCUACAUUUACAUUUGCAGCAAGUUUAUGUGUCAAUCUUCAUUUGGUGCUGAAUAUGGAAUUGAAGGUUGAAUUAUUCAAUUGCAAAUAUUUCUAUACAUGUAGGUCCCUUAGUUGACUAAACAAUAGUGUUGGAAACACGGCAAUAUUAAUUUCCAUAAUUGACAUCGGCAAUAUUAAUUUUCAUAAUUGAUAUUUUUUGGAAAUUAAUUAUUUCUUACUAUUUAUAUAUAUAGUUCAUUAACAAUUUUAGGUAAAGAUACGUAAAGAUGAUAUCCCUUCAUAUUUACAUAUGCAGAAAGUGUAUGUGCUAAUAGAUACAGUUAAUUUGUGCUGUAAUUAUAAAUUUUUUUUGUAGCUCGUCUGAUGGUCUGUCCUUUUCCUCGUUGACCUAACUUGGAAAUAAUGUCCAACAAUUACGUGUGGAAAUGUUGGAAUUGAAUGUUGAAUUAUUCAAUUGCAAAUAUUUCCAUACCAGUAGGUCCCUUAAUAUUUCCGUACCUCCUUGACCGUACAAUAGCGUUGGAAACACGGCAAUAUUAAUUUUCAUAAUUGACAUUUUAUAUGCAAAUUUCUGAAUAUUCACAGUUCAUUUAUGAUUUUAGGUAAAGAUAUAUCUAAACCCUGAAGUUAAAAGCCUCUAAUAAUCUUGAAUUGGGUUUGUGACACUUUAACUAGUAAUUUAUAUAAAAAAAAUUAAAAACUUAAUUAAUUACACUACAUCUCCUAGAAUUUACAUUUACAUUUGCAGGAAGUGCAUAAUUAAUAGAUACAGUUUGUGAUCUCAUUGCAACUUUAUUUUGGAGCUCGUCUGAUGGUAACUGUUCUUGGGACAUCUACCGCUCUAUGCCUAGGUGGCUUCUAAUUUUAAUACUAAUUAAAUCUUCUGCAAAAUGCUGUGAAAUUAUUAUUGUGAUUAUUAACAAGAACAAGGAACUGCUUACUUGAAGGGUUAAACAAUUAUACGUUUUUUAUCAGAAAAAAUAAGCAUUUAUAGUUUAAAAAUAACAUUUCCAGGCUGGGAAUUCAGGCAAACGCAGAUACUACACAUCAAGAACAUUGCAAAAAUUUAACUACUAUGCAGCGAACAAUGGUGGAACGAUAUUUAUUUAUCUAGGGAUUAUGUUAUUUAGGUUCGCUAGUUAGUUCAACAAACUUCUAUUAUGUAUAAUGUGAUUGCAUAACACACUUAUGCCUUACUUAAUACUAUCAGCUUCUUUUAAAAAAAAGAACAUUGCAAAAAUGAUUCAUUGACAAAUAAGACUUCCCAGUAAAAAGAAGUUCAUAAUUGGAGCACAAGAUCAGAGAAAAGGUUCAUUGAUGAAUGUCAUGUGUGUUGAAGACCUGUGUAUUAUAUUAUUUUAAUCAUAUUCAGUUUAAUUUUUUCAAUUUAGUAUUUUAAGUUUAGUAGGAUUCAUUGAACUAUAUAAAAAAACACUUGUAUAUAACAACAACUUCAGCACUAUCAAGCCUCAAGGCUUCUCUUGUUCUUCUUCCUCUCUUUGAAUCUCUUCUUGUUCUUAUAAUGUGAAUCUCUCCCACCUCUGGACUUCGAGCAAAAGCUCUUAAAAAAAUUGGGAAUCGUAUAUGACUUGUGCUUGAUUCCCUGGGAAACAUAAGUGGCCGUAAACAAAGAAUGGAAUGUUCAGCGGAGUCACGGAACUAAACUACCCCUUUUUAGGGGAAAUCACUUACGACUUGGUCUGUUCUUUUACUUGACCCCAAAGUCUUUGUUUCUAGUAAAUAAUUUUCCCGCAAAUUAAUUAAUUUUAUAGAUAUUGGAGGUGGGCUUUUACAUGAAAAUAUCAUUAGGGAAAAAAAAUUGUGAUUGCUUAAUGUGAAUGUUCAGAGAAGUUUUUCUAAAGUGUAUUUAGGAAUGAAAUUUAUGUGAAGCUUGCUUUACAUACUGAAUUUAAUUUCCCAAAAAAAAAAUCCGACCACAAAAUUUUUCAAUAAUUUACAAACGUAGUUAAUUCACAUCUUAGGUAUGUGAAGAAUGUAAAGAAUGUUAAUUCACGUAGUUAAUUCAAUAAUUUUUAAAACUUAAGAUCACUAACUCAUCUUAUAUAAAGAAUAUUAUACUUUGAUCAUGUUACAUGUUAUCUUAAUCAAGGUAACAAAAAAGUAGACAAUGGAUAUAUCAUGAAUUAUAUGAAGGUAUUUGAAUGAUUAAGACAAGAUUCAUUACACUAGAUGAAUAAAAAAAGAAACAUCUAUUUUCAUAUAGUAUUGACUGAGAAUUAUUUUGGCCAAUGUGGAAUGAGAUUUGAAAAGAGUUUCAAAUCUUAUUCAAACGAUUAAUAACUAUUAUAUAGAGAAUAAACAUGAUUUAACAUGACAGAUAUACUAUAUGCUUUAAUGUUAAAUUAGAACAUUAUUGAUGAAAGGAUAUCCAUUAUACUGAGAAAUUGGUCACUAAAAUGUUAAGUCAAACCACUAAUGAUUUCCAAUAUUUAGAGAAUCAUGACAUGUUACUAGACGAUGCACCUGAUCUUUAAAUAUAAAUUAAUCAAUUGUUGAAUUAAUAAUAAAUUAAAUUAUUUAAUCUAUUUAAUUAGAAUUAUAAUUUAUAUUUAGGCCUACAUAUUAGGAACCUAAUAAGUUACACGCAUUAAGAAUCAUUAAUCAAAAAUUAAACUAGAAUGAUUUAGUUAAGUAUGACUUGAUUACAAUAUAUUUUAGAAAUUAAGGAAUAGAUUAUAAUUAAUACAAAUAUUAUAUUUCUAGACUUGUAAAAUCAAGUAAGGACUUAAUUGAGCUACUUUCUGUAUUAUCUUUAAAUAAUAUAUGGAUAUUAUUUAAGGGACAAAUAAAUAUUUUAUGUGAAGCUUGCUUUACAUACUGAAUUUAAUUUCCCAAAAAAAAAAAUCCGACCACAAAAUUUUUCAAUAAUUUACAAACGUAGUUAAUUCACAUCUUAGGUAUGUGGCCAUGCAUGAUUUAAGCACCAAAACGUAGAUAAAGUAUACAAGAAAUUACUGUGUCUAACCAAUUCGGGUAGUAAAUUACUUAAGGCUUCGGAGAAGAGGUAAUUCAGAGAGAAUUACCUCACAUUUAUUUAAGAUAACUCAUGUAAAUUUCAAAAACUUAAGUCAUCCAAAUUAUAGUUCUAAUUUAUUUGUAAGGUUUUAGAAAUAACGAGAUUGUAAUUUUUCUCAGUAAAAAAUUUCUUGAGCCUAGUUUUAUUAAUCCAUAUUUUUAAUGAAUUUCUUAUAAAAAAUUAAUGGGGCAAUGGUAAGAACAGUAUUAAUUUUGGAUUACCUGAUUUUUUUAAAAUAGAGUUUAUACGUACUGCUAUAAAUUGAUAAUAAUAUUUGCAUCUCAGAAGAAACAUUUGAUCGUAUGUGCAAAUGUGAUUCAUAUGUGCUCCCGGCGAAUAUCUCAACCUUCUUACGUGAUAUAUGAUGCUGAAUACAUAAAAAUGGGAGAACGAAGCGAAGAAGGAUUUAAUUACAAAAACUACAAUCAAACUAAAUCUCUAAGAUAUGAUUUACAAAUCAAGCUUUAAUUCUUUUGAUUCGAUCCGAAGCCACCAAAUUACAUCCAAAUUACAUAUUUGGUUUUUUUUUUUUUUUUCCAGUUGCAAUUUGCGGCGGCAUCGCAUUUCCAGGAGCUAAGCUUUAACAAGGUUGCUUACUCACAUUACUAUUUUGCAUGCAUAAAUCUAUGCUAGAAGUAUUUGGAACUAAUUACUUUGACAACGCUUCUGUUUGCAUGAUAAGACUGCCCAAAAGUAGGCAAGGAACAGAGCAUUAGAAUUAGUUGUGAAACGAGGACAGCACCUGGUUGAUCCGAGUGAUGGAGAAAAAGUGGAUGAUUGGAGUUCUCCCAUGCUUCUGAGGUCUUGAAAGAGUUCGGCAGCGCCUGUUUUAUUCAAGAAGCUUUUGUUCUUCGUCACCAGGCAUGAGGUAUUUUAGUUGUAUGGAUUCCUAGCUUCUCAGAACUAGAGCUCUGAUACCAUAAAGAAAAUGAUAAUGCGAAUGUUUUCUGUAAUUUCUUUUUUCAAUAUUGCAAAGCUGUACGACAUAUAUAUGCAGUUUACAUACAAUCUGAUCCACCAUUCUAAGAGCUAUUCUAGGAUUAACUUUGAUAAACUGUUAAAGAAUCGAAAUGUCAAAGCAACCAAUCUCUUCACGGCGAAUUGUACUUCACAAAAAAGCGCACUCCUAAAUAAAUAAAUAAUGUGAAUACACUAAGAAAGGGUGAUUGAAGUAAAGAUGCAACAACUGCUGCAUGCAUUGGUUCUUUUUUUAUAGAUGUAACACCCAAACCUUGCAUCAAAGUUAACCAAAAAAAAAAACACGCAAAUUAAGUGACUCGAAAAUAUUCCAUGUAUCGAAUAAAGCUAAUAAUAAAAAUAAAAUUAAAACACAACCAUGAAGGAAAACAGAAGCAGUACGAAAGAGGAAUCCAAUUCUCUGAAUCUGCCACUCUAGCGUUCUUCUCAUGUCAACCUCCACUUGGUAUCUCAUAAGGUAGCGAGAAUGUUUAUUCCAAACUUCACUGCAAUAGAGAAACAUACAAAUAAUUUUUUUUAUUUAAUGAAUCCGAAAGCGAAAGAAAAGACUAAUAAAAGGAAAUAGCACAGAAAAAAUAGCAUAAACUGUUGCACGUAAAACCUUAAGAUUUCAAAUGUUUGCAUAACUUACCUCAUGUUACUAGCUCCGUUGUUUAGUUUCUUCUUGCACCAUUCCUACGAGCAUUCUUCUUCGUUCUUCUUGCCUUCAGAUUCCAUAGAUCUUCAACCAAUUUCAGAAACCAUGCUGGUUCUCUUGUUCUGAACAAAACGUAUCCCAUUGUGACUCCAAACACAAACCCAUUUCCAUACCCUAUUGCCACAGCUUUCCAUCCAAAUCCUUCUCCAAAGAACUUUGAAUCAUCUCCAUCGUGAAAGUUUGAUGGCUGCGAUGGUGGUGCCUCGUCACUGUUGCAUUCUUUUGGCAUUGGAAAUCCACAUAAGUCCAAGUUUCCUUCAAAUGAGAUUGCAUUAAACGUGUUGAACUGCUUUCCAGUGGGUAUGGGCCCCUCAAGCUGGUUAUGUGAAAGGUUUAAGACUCCAAGAAAUGUUAGAUCUGCCAACUGUACUGGAAUCCUUCCAGUAAGAAAAUUUGAAGACAGAUCUAAUGAUUCCAGAUUGGUAAACAUUCCUAAUGAUGAUUGAAUUUGACCUGUAAGGGAAUUCUGAGAGAGGUUGAGUUGUUAAAGUCCUUUAAGCUUUCCGAUCUCCCCUGGAAUCUCUCCGAUGAAACUGUUGUUUGACAAAUCAAGUAUUCUAAGAGCGCUUUGGAUUUUCGUGAACUUAAUAUCAAACCCUUUCCAUGUCACUUCUAUGGAAUAGGAAUAGUUAGGGUAAUUUCUUGCCAUCAUGUAAAAUGUAUUUUGAUCAUAGACCAUCAUUGCUUCAAGACUAUUAAAAUACCCUGUUGGCAAUUGUCCACUCAAAUUAUUGCUGGAGAUUUCGAAGAUCCGUAAUUUAGAGAAGGAAUUAUUAGUAGUCAAACCAUUCACAAGACCCUGGAGUUUAUUGGAUUUUAGGAUAAGAACAUGCAGCUCUGGAAGCAUUUCUAGGAAAUAGGGGAAUGUAUCCUCAAUUUUAUUGUCGCCAAGAUCAAGAAUUUCCAGCAUUGCACAGUUGAUGAUAGAUAAUGGUAUUUUCCCUUCCAAUUCAUUGCCAUUUAGGUUGAGAUAUCCCAAGUUAUUCCCUUUUGAAAAUGGUGAAAAGAUGGUGCCUCGAAGAUUAUUCAUGCCAAGAUUCAAAAUUGAGAGAGAGUUGCUCAAGUUCCCUAAACAUUGUGGUACAAAACCACUCAAGCUGUUGUUGGACAAAUCAAGGAGUUGAAGGAAUUUAAGCUUGCAAAUAGAGGAAGAAAUUUCACCUGUUAUUUUAUUGUUGGAUGCAAGAGCAAGGGCUUCCAGUUUCUCUUGUUUGAAAAUUGAACUUGGGAUUGGACCAUGCAAGUGAUUGUUUCUUAAAUCAAACAAUUUCAAUGAAAGAGUACUUAUUUGAGAAGGGAUAGGUCCUGAGAGUUGAUUACUAGAUAAACCUAAAUUUUCAAGGUGGGUUAGGUACUCUAAAAAAUCUGGAAUUCUACCUGAAAAAUUAUUGUUAUCCAGAUACAAGGAUUUAAGUUGCACAAGGUUUCUAAAUGAUGAUGGAAUCUCACCACCCAAAUUAUUACCUGCAAGGUCCAAACGAGUGAGCCAUAUAAGAGAACCAAUCAGGGUUAAAUUUGAACCUAUGAUAUUACUGUUUCUAAGAGCCAGAACUUCCAAUAACUUUAGAUUUGUGAAGAAGUCAUUUUCUAAAUAAACUGAAAUUCUAGUAUGAGAAAGACCCAAUAAACAGAGGGCAUUACUGACAUUGGAUGAAGGAAAAGAGCCAGUGAGGUCGUCGUUGGAUGUCAAAUCAAGUGAUUCAAGGUUUGGUAGGAGAAAGAUGUUACCUGGGAACUUCCCUUUCAAUCCACAACCCCAAAGGGCAAGACCUGACAAGGAUGAGGACAGAUUCGCCAAGGAAUUAGGUGUGACCAAAUCCAUAUUUACAUAACCCAAACGGAGAUCUCUUAGCUUGGUUAGGUUUUGAAUAAUCUUGUCAAAAGAACUUGGUUCUACAAUCAAAUAGUCAUUGAAAGAGAGAUCAAUUGAAACCAACUCAGUGAGUUGUCCAAGAUCAUCUGGAGUUGAACCUGUAAGAUUGCUGAAUCUAAGAUCCAAGUACUGGAGGUGCUUAAACUUUCUCACUGAGGAUGGGAAUUUUCCUUGCAAUCCACAGGAAUAGAGUACAAGUGAUGACAAAGAAGAAGACAGAUUCAUCAAGGAAUUGGGUACAACCAAUGACAUGUUCACCCACCUCAGAUUGAGUUCUCUAAGCUGGGUUAGAUUUCGAACAAGCUUGUCAAAAGAAAUUGGUUCUAGACUUAGAUAGUCGUUUUCGUUUCCAGAGAGAGCAAGUGAAACCAACUCAGUGAGUUGCUCAAGAUCAUAUGGAAUUGGACCUGCAAGAUUGUUAUCUGCAAGAUUCAACUGCUGGAGGUGCUUAAACUUUCUCAUUGAGGAUGGGAAUUCUCCUUGCAAUCCACAGGAAAGGAGUUUGAGUGAUGACAAAGAAGAAGACAGAUUCAUCAAGGAAUUGGGUGUAACCAAUGACAUGUCUACUGCACUCAGAUCGAGUUCUCUAAGCUGGGUUAGAUUUCGAGCAAGCUUGGCAAAAGAAAUUAACUUACGACGUGGUCUGUCCACUGGGAAACAUAAGUGGCCAUCAACAAAGAAAGGAGAGUUCAGCGUGGUCACGAAGUCCUUUUUCUUGACCCCAAAGCCUUUGUUUCUAAUAAUUAAUUUUAUAGAUACUGGAGGUGGAAUUUUACAUGAAAAUAUUUUUAGGGAAAAAGAAUUACGACUGGUUUACAUACUGACUUUAAUUUCCAAAAAGAAAUCGAGGCACAACAUUUUCAAUAGAAAGAAUUGUUUUUUAAUAAUUUACAAACGUAGUUAAUUCACAUCUUAGGUAUGUGGCCAUGCAUGAUUUAAGCACCAAAACGCAGAUAAAGUAUACAAGAAAUUACUGUGUCUAUUAUUGAAUACCCUUUUAAUGUUUUGAACUUAAACUGUGAGAUUAUUGAAUAGAUCAUCCAUUUCUCUUCAGAGUAAUAUUAAUGACUAAAAUGCCAUUAAAAUAAUUAGCAUGUUACUACCUACUCCAUUUUAAAUGAGUUUAUUAUUUGAAGUGGUAGUCCUAAAAGACAUUUCCAUAAUUCAAGAGCAAGCUAUUUAAUUUAUUUAUUUUAUUGUUGCUAGCGAACUCUUCUUUGUUUCUUUUGCAUGAGUUGCCUAUCGAGUAAACGGUUUCUUAAUUAUUGUAUAAUCUACGUUCACAAAUGAAGUGGCUUUAUGAUUUUUGUUGAGAGUAGAUAAUAUCCCUACAUUUACAUUUGCAGCAAGUUUACAUACCAAUUUUCAUUUGGUGCUGAAUAUGAAAUUGAAGGUUGAAUUAUUCAAUUGCAAAUAUUUCUAUACUAGUAGGUCCCUUAGUUGACUGGACAAUAGUAUUGGAAACAGGGCAAUAUUAAUUUUCAUAAUUGACAUUUUUUGUGGAAAUUAAUUAUUUUUCCAUAAUUGACAUCAGCAAUAUUAAUUUCCAUAAUUGACAUCGGCAAUAUUUCAGAAUUUUUUUUGUAGCUCGUCUGAUGGUCUGUCCUUUUCCUCCUUGACCUCCAAGUCUUCGGAACUUGGAUAUAGUGUCCAACAAUUACGUGUGGAAAUGGAGUUGAAUUAUUCAAUUGCAAAUAUUUCCAUACCUGUAGGUCCCUUAAUAUUUCCGUACCUCCUUGACUAUGCGUUGGAAACAUGGCAAUAUUAAUUUUUGAAAUUGAUAUUUUUAUGCAAAUUUUUGAAUAUUCACAGUUCAUUUAUUAGGUAAAGAUAUUAUAGACUUCAAAGUUAAAAAUCAUGUAAGUAUUUAAUGACUCGAACUGAUUUUAUAAUACUUAAAUUAAUAAUUUUUAAAAAAUAAAUUUAAAACUUAACCAUAUAAGCUAUCCUUUCAGGAUUGAUAUCUCUAAGCUUAAGAAUGAAUUCCAGUGAUGAUCAUGAUCCCGUCACCUUGCUUUCAUGCACAGGAGGGGAUUCAGUACCAACGUAGAUGAAAGUAUACAAAAAUUGUUGCAUCUGUUACGUCUAUGUUAAAUAAUCUUCAUUUAUCCAUGUAUGCCUCCAAAAAAUCAUUUGAAUACCAUUUUAAUUAAUCUAAAAACUAUGUUUAAAUAUUGUUUUAGUCCUAGAUAUGAUUUAGAGCUCAAACAACUUAAAUUGUGGAAAAUAAAUAUUGAAUAUGUCAAACUAGUGAGAAAACAAUUUGCAAGGAAAACAUUCCAAAACCAUUCGCGAACCAAAUAACUGGAAGGAUAGAUAAAAAAAAAAUAAAAAAACCCUGAUGAAGAAAGUCUUCUUCACCUCCUUAUGCCAACUCCAAUUCAAUCUGUAGAUGUAGUCAACAAGUUCUUAUAAUAACAUUACUCAAUAAUUCCUAAAAAAACAAAACAGCAUACUAAAACUAACAAAUCAUGAAUAUUACAUAAAUAAGGGACAUGCAUAAUUUUUAAUUAAAUUCAUGGGCACAUUAUAUUUUCCAUACUUACCAUGGAGAAAUAAAACAAAUCAAGUAAGAAAUGUACAUGUAUUACAUGUGUUUGAUAACAUGAUACAUAGUAUUUUAAAAAAAUAUUUUUCAAUUAAAAUUAUAUUUUUUUAUAUUUUAAAUUUUGACAUUAACAUAUAACUAAAAUCAUCAAAAAAAACCUAAAAAAACAUCAAUUUAAUAUUUCUUUAAGUUAAAAGUAAUUGUAAAAACACUUUGAAAAACAAUUUAACUAUGUUAGAAAAUUGUAUAAAUCAUAUAUUGAGGUCUCACUUAAUAGCUUAUGUUUUUUGGUGAGACAACUCUUUAAUAUGAUAUCAGAGCCUUAAAGAUUAAGUGAUUAUGAAUUUGAAUUUUACCAUCCUUAUUCUCUCUUCUAAUUAAAAUUUAAUUCAUAGCAUAAGGUAAUGCCGGCCCGUACAAGUUUCAAGUUCAAAGAGCUUUCAUUUGAAGAAGUAUGUUAGAGAGUAAUACAAAAUCAUAUAUUGGGGUCUCACUUAACAUAUUAAACUUUUGGGUUGAGAUGAUUUUUUGAUUUGGUAUUAGAACCUUAGCAGUCACGAGUGUGAAUCUCAUAACUUUAAUUAUAUUUGAUAAAAAUUAAGUAUAAGAUAGUUGAAUCCGUGCAGAUUACUUGAGAAGGUGUAUUAGAAAAUUAUAUAAAUCAAAUAUUAAAGUCUCACUUAACAAUUUAAGCUUUUAAGUCAAAUGAUUCUUUACACACCACAAUACAAAACUCACACCGAAAUCUUUGUGCAAAAUCAUGAGGUGAUUACUAAAUUCAAGAGCAAGCUAUUUAAUUUAUUGUUGCUAGCGAACUCUUCUUUGUUUCUUUUGCAUGAGUUGCCUAUCGAGUAAACGGUUUCUUAUUGUAUAAUCUACGUUCAUAAAUGAAGUGGCUUUAUGAUUUUUGUUGAGAGCAGAUAAUAUCCCUACAUUUACAUUUGCAGCAAGUUUAUGUGCCAAUCUUCAUUUGGUGCUCUUCCAUUUGGUGCUAAUAUGGAAUUGAAGGUUGAAUUCUUAUUGCAAAUAUUUCUAUAUAAGUAGGUCCCUUAGUUGACUGGAUAAUAGUGUUGGAAACACGGCAAUAUUAAUUUUCAUAAUUGACAUUUUUUGUGGAAAUUAAUUAUUUUUCCAUAAUUGACAUAGCAAUAUUAAUUUCCAUAAUUGACAUCGGCAAUAUUUCAGAAUUUUUUUUGUAGCUCGUCUGAUGGUCUGUCCUUUUCCUCCUUGACCUCCAAGUCUUCGGAACUUGGAUACAGUGUCCAACAAUUACGUGUGGAAAUGAUGGAGUUGAAUGUUGAAUUAUUCAAUUGCAAAUAUUUCCAUACCAGUAGUUCCCUUAAUAUUUACGUACCUCCUUGACUAUGCGUUGGAAACAUGGCAAUAUUAAUUUUCAAAAUUGAUAUUUUUAUGCAAAUUUUUGAAUAUUCACAGUUCAUUUACAAUUUUAGGUAAAGAUAUUAUAGGCUUCGAAGUUAAAAAAUCAUGUAAGUAUUUAAUGCUCUGAUUUUAUAAUACUUAAAUUAAUAAUUUUUAAAAAAUAAAUUUAAAACUUAACUAUCCUUUCAGGAUUGAUAUCUCUAAACAUGGCAGAGGCGUUUCGUCCGUUGGCGCGGACGUUUCUUCAUUAAAGGCGUCGGUUACGGAGCAUUUAGGAGGCCAGACGUUACCACCACCGAGGCUGCCGCUGGCUCUAUAAAAGCUGAGCGAAGGAGACCUCGCGAAAGAGAGGAGAAGACAGGGAGGAAACCGAGCAAGACAGAAAAGAAAAAACCCACAAAACAGAGACAAACAGUAGUUCCCACAGAAAAAACAGAGAUCAAUACAAGCAGAAAUCCCACGUUGAUAUCAUCGUCCUCUCAAUCGUCCCUCUCCCUUGCAAAUCAGAAAGAGGAAGAACCCAAGCAGCGAGCUGUCACCUUCACCAUCGCCGAAACAAAAGGAAAACAGAAAGGGAAGGUCAUACAGCAGAUGAGAGCGAAAUCACUGUGCUGACCAGCCUCCUCGCAAUCUCCAGAAACAGGUAAGCCGUUCUCAUCUUUCUCUUCAUUCUUGUUUGAAAUUGUGCAAAUGCAAGAACUGUGCGAAGGUAGGUAAUUUAAUUACCUUCGCACAGUUGCUGCACGCGUGAAAUUGCUUCACGCGUGCAGUUUAAUUAAACUCUGCCGGGCCACUGGAUUGGGCCAGUGGCCGGGCCGGCUGGGCCCAGUCCAGCCUCUUUUGGGCUGAACUGGGCCCGGCCCAAAAAAUAUAGAUAAUAAAAAAUAAAAAAAAUGAUAAGGGUAAAAAAAAAUGAUCAGAGAAAAGGUUCAUUGAUGAAUGACAUGUGUGUUGAAGACCUGUGUAUUAUAUUAUUUUCAUCAUAUUCAGUUUAAUUUUUUCAAUUUAGUAUUUUAAGUUUAGGAGGAUUCAUUGAACUAUAUAUAAAAAAACACUUGUAUAUAACAACAACUUCAGCACUAUCAAGCCUCAAGGCUUCUCUUGUUCUUCUUCCUCUCGUUGAAUCUCUUCUUGUUCUUAUAAUGCGAAUCUCAGAAGCAGGCAUUCUCCCACCUAUGGACUUCGAGCAAAAGCUCUUAAAAAAAUUGGGAAUUGUAUAUGACUUGUGCUUGAUUCCCUGGGAAACAUAAGUGGCCGUAAACAAAGAAUGGAAUGUUCAGCGGAGUCACGGAACUAAACUACCCCUUUUUAGGGGAAAUCACUUACGACUUGGAGCCCGUUUGGUGCUGCGUUUGUACUUGUAUUUUGGUAAAUUUUGAUUUUUUUUAGAUAAAAUUGAGUGCGGUUUGUACUUUUUGGAUCGUUUUGAUGUGCUGAUAUCAAAAAUAAUUUUUAAAAAAUGAUAAAACAUUAUUUGCAUGUAUUUUGACACGAAAAGUUAUUUGAAAAGUAACCGCUACCACACUGCCAAACACACUCUUGGUCUGUCUUUUUUACUUGACCCCAAAGUCUUUGUUUCUAGUAAAUAAUUUUCCCGCAAAUUAAUUAAUUUUAUAGAUAUUGGAGGUGGGGUUUUACAUGAAAAUAUUAUUAGGGAAAAAAAAUUGUGACCGCUUAAUGUGAAUGUUCAGAAAAGUUUUUUAAAGUGUAUUUAGGAAUGAAUUGUAACUGCUUAAUGUGAAUGUUCAGAGAAGUUUUUCUAAAGUGUAUUUAGGAAUGAAAUUUAUGUGAAGCUUGCUUUACAUACUGAAUUUAAUUUCCCAAAAAAAAAAAACCCGACCACAAAAUUUUUCAAUAAUUUACAAACGUAGUUAAUUCACAUCUUAGGUAUGUGGCCAUGCAUGAUUUAAGCACCAAAACGUAGCUAAAGUAUACAAGAAAUUACUGUGUCUAUUAUUGAAUAGAUCAUCCAUUUCUCUUUAGAGUAAUAUUAAUGCAUAUAAAUCUCAUAAUAUUCUUUAGAUUUAUGUUAGCUGUAUAGCAUCUCAAGGGCUUUUUUCUAUUUGAAGGUUUUAUUAUUAUUGCAUUCUACCUCAAAAUCAAUAAAACUUUGAUUAUUAUAUAUAUAAAAAAUCAUAUUAAAUCAUUAUUGUUCACAACUUUGUGUACCCAUCGAGCAAAUCGGAUGUGUCCAAUUGGAGAGAUAAAAUUAUGGAAGGAAAAAUAUUUUAAACCAAAUAUAGAAGAUAAAAAAUAUUUUUUAGUAGAGAUUCCUAAUGACAUUUUUUCCUGAACAAGUGAUUUCUCGGCACUCCUCAAAUAAUUUCUAGCCGGACAGACAAACAAACAAAUAAACCACAUAAAAUUCUCAAACAAUUAUAUAUCACAGUGAAUUACUUUUUUGUUAAUUUUAGGGUCUAUAAAAUUAGUUGAGAUACAUACAAGCUGAUCCGGACAUCCACGUUAAUAAUAAUAAAAAAAGCUUAUGCAUAGAAUCUCACUCUGUUCCUGGUUUAUUAAAUCUCUUGUCAUGACCUAUUUCAUUGGUGGCUCGCCCCAUGCAAUUAAUAUUCAUGUCGAUUAUCCAAAGUAGCAUUUGAAUUCUGUAAAUUAACUUCCUUUUUGUUAAAUUUCCUAUGCCUUUAAAAUUUUGUUAUUGACAUAAGCCUAAUUAAGUAGACAACACUGUAGUUUCGAUAUGCAAUAAUUUUUAUCUGAAUGUCCGAUUGAGGCUUGUGAAAACAAUGUAAAAAAUAUAUAUUAAAAAAAUAUUUUUUAUUUUUUAAUAAUUAUUUUUAAAAUCAGCACAUCAAAACGAUCUAAAAAUAUUUAAAAAAUAAUGUUUAGAGAAUUUUAUUUUUGAAAUUUGAGGGAAUGCGGUUUCAAUCGCGUUCCCAAACGAUGCGUGUUUGAGAAUAUGGUUAUGAUUGCUUUUCAAAGUGUUUUUUACUCGGAAAUAUAUUAAAAUAAUAUUUUAAAAAAAAUUAUUUUUGAUAUUAGUGCAUCAAAAUAAUUUUAAAAAAUAAAAAUAAUUUUUUUUUCAAAAACACUUUUAAAAUACAAAAAAUAAACAAAACCUCAAAAUCAUAUACAUAAUAAGAAUAUGCAAUGAGUUUUUUUUUUCUUAAUGAAAUACGAGAGAUUUAUUUGAUCACUAUUAUAACCAUUAAAAAUAUAGCUUAAUAGAUAGAAAGAAGAGUAUAGAAAAACUCAGAAGAGUGAGAAAACUUACUAGCACAACUAAAUCCGCAACUAAGUCAUUUUUUCUAAGAACUCUUGCUUGACUAAAUGAUAUGCAGCAAUAUUAUUUCUUGUAUAUAAUUUUUCAAAAAAAAAAUAAUGAACACACAAGAUUCUCAAAAGGAUGAAUUUUCUUUAGUAAUUUACACGUAUAGUUAAUUCACAGCUUAGGCAAAUGGCAAGAUUCUUCGAUUAAAUAAUAUUUUUAUUCAGUCCCAAUUUAAAUUUAGGGUUUAAACAAUAUCUCAAUUAAAAAAUAUUUUAUUUCAUUAAUAAAUUUUCAUCAUACCAAGGGAAUUAAUUUGUAGAUGUUUAAUUGUAUUGUAAUUUUUCGACUUCAAAGAUUUUGAGAAUACUCCAAUUGCAUAACUUGGAAAUUCUAGGGUUCUAUCGUGGAAAUGGAGGAUUACAAAAAAGAUUUUAGGGAUGAGCUUUUUGCACCAAAGGUUGCACCUUCCAGCUAUAAAGAUGGAUUUCCAAGGUUUGAUAACAGCCAUUUAAAUAGCUUUUAGACCGACAAUUACACAUGAAAGGAAAAAUUAGAAUUUCAAAACUGGUGUUACGUUAAAAAUUCAAAAUUCCACGCCUGAUUUGAAGUCCUUACCGAAGUAGUGGGCGAAGCCAGCGAUUCCCUUACAGAAUUGGACAGGUAGAAUCUCCUAAAUAAAUUUGAGCGUGUUUUAAUUGUCAUAUAAAAAGUUACAGUUUAUUUAUUUUUAUAACUAUAGGUAUUCGAGCUGGUUUGUCCAUACCUCAACUAAUUUCACGGGUUUUGAAGUUAAUAAACAUAUAAGUCUCUAGUAGUCCUAAGAUUUGUAAGAUUUGAACUGGUGAUCUCUAAAGAGCAAACUUAAAACUUGACCAAUUAAAUUACACCCUUCAAAAUUAAUUAUAGUCUAUUUUAUUAUACAGGUCAUUUAGCGCGAUUAGAUCACUUAUUGAGUUUAAAUUAAUUUGUCUAUAUGAUCCAAUGAAAUAUUUGCUAGGUUAUUUAUAUUGUCCAACUGAGAUAGAUUUGUAUCCAAUUGAUCACAUCCUCCUGCAUCAAAGAUUAUUACAUGGCUAAUAAUCAAUAAUGUACAAUCUCUCAAACUAUAUCGUGCAAUUAUUGAGGUAUGCAUAGACAUCUUAAUUUAAUUAAAUCGAAGUCCGAGGAAAUAAAGUUGUUAUGGUUGUCUCUCAUGAAAUUAAAAAGUUAAUCCUAAAAGGUAUAAUUUAACUAGUCAGAUUCUAAGUUUGCUUUUUAUAGGUCACCAAUUAAUUCAAGUUCUACAAACCUCAUGGUCACUAAAGAUUUAAAUAAUUGUUAAUUUUAAGGCUCAUAAAAUUAAUUGAAAUACAUACAAACUGAUCCGGAUAUUUAAGUUAAUAAUACUAAUAAUAAAAAGCUUGUGCAUAGGUUCUCGCUCUGUUCCUGGUUUAUUAAAUCUCUUGUCAUGACCUAUUUCAUUGGAGGCUCGCCCCAUGCAAUUAAUAUUCAUGUGGAUUAUCCAAAGUAGCAUUUGAAUUCUGUAAAUUAACUUCCGUUUUGUUCAAUUUCCUAUGUCUUUAAAAUUCUGUUAUUGACAUAGGCCUAAUUAAGUAGACAACAUUGUAGUUUCGAUAUGCCAUAAUUUUUAUCUGAAUGUCCGAUUGAGGCUUGUGAAAACAAUGUAAAAAAAAAAGAGAAGGGAAUUGAACUAGUUUGAAGAGUUUGAUUUAUGUAAUUCAUAAUCAAAAUCUGGAAUUAGCUAGAUUUGAAGCAAAGUGUGCUACGUACAAUGGCUAAUUUUAUCCUGAAAAUUCCCAUUUUGACAUGUGAGGCUAAGGCAAAUGGAACAGUAAACAUUUCAUCCAUAGUUUUGAAACCCAGCCCAACACGGCAGGUCAACCCGUGAUCCGGAUGACCCAGGGCUGGAAUAGGACUGGCUUGAAGAAAAAACAAAAAAACAAAAAAUCCGGUGUAACCUGGCAGGCUGGUCAAGACCCGGCCUUAAACCCGUUGACUUUUAUUUUAUUUUUAUUUUUGUUUUACUAAAACGACGUCGUUUUGAUUUUAAAAAAAAAUGCCUUGGACUGGGCCGGCCACCAAUCGGGUCUUAAAAAUAUGAUUUCAUCUAACAUAUACACAUAAUUAAAGGAAAACAUUCAUGAAUCUUUGGCAGAAUGUCGAUAGUUACUGGCCUUAGAGAGCAUAUUGUUAGAACCACUUAGGUGGAGAUUAGUGGUUCGGUCUAUGCCAUUAAGGUUACAGAAAAACCAUGCUUAGAGGUUAAUUCAAGUAGGUUUGAUAAAAAGAAGGUUGUGGAAAAUUGGGCUGGGAAGUUGAAUCCUUACUCUAGAAUCCUCCCAGCAUGAUUCUCUCAAAUCAUCAUAUGCUGCUGCUGAUUAAUUUUGUUCUGAGGAGCCAAUGGAAGAUGGAAUAGAUGGAGCAAAAAUUGAUGACACGAAUGAGACUGCUGUAUGUAGCCAUGGUAUGGAUAGGGAAUUCUCUUUUUGUGAUCCUGGGUGAACAUGUACUGCCUGAAAGAAUUAACAAGAAGGGUACUUUGAAUGUUGAUUUGCUUUCUCCAGAGAAAGGUUCUUUGAGGAAAUCUGUUGCUGAGACCCUUGAGGAGACAGAAACAACCGAUAGCGACCCGAUAAAUGCAACGCUGCACUAACAAGCUUCCCUGCUACCAUAGCUGCUAUAAAAAGCAAUGGAGUCCAAAUUGUUGAAAAGCAGUCAGAGGAAAAUUUAAAUAUUGAUGGUGGGCUUAUCUCUAAUGCUUAUAUGGAUGAGUAGAGGAAUGGAUCACAGUGUAUUGGGCUAGAGGAAAACACACUCUCAAUAGUUCCAGUUAACACACAUGAGCCUCUGUUAACUACUUACUAUAAGGCUUCGGACCAACAACUGAUCUCAUUCAUGCUUAAAUGGCCCGGUGAAAUAUAAUAAAAACAAGAUGUUUGAGGUCUUCAUCACACCUAUAGCAGAACCAGAGGAGGUAGCUGAACUAGAGAAGGAAAAGAAGAGAAGUUCGAACAAAAGAAAGAAGAAACUUUCCUUAAAAUCAGCAACUCGUAAGGGGAGAACAUCAAGAAGUAGAAAAGAGAAGUCUGCUAACCUGGAAAUCACUGAAAUGUCUAUCUCAGAUGGUGAAAUCAGAAACGGAAACAAGGCUAUACGCUCUGGCAUGGACAUUAAUGUAAUGGAGAAGGGGAUCAUUUCCCCUCGGCGACUGGAGCAACAACCACCUGUCGAUAGUAGAAAGGAACUUGCUGGGAGGUUGGAAAGGCCAUUCUUUAGCUAGAUGAUGAUAGUGAUCAGAUUGUGGACACCUUGAAGGUUUUCAUAGACAAAGAGCGGGAGAACUGGAAAGGAAGGUUGGAGUAACAGUAAUGCUCCACUAAGAUAUUCUAGAUCUUGGUAUGUUGUUCCCUCAGUUGGUCUUUCCGGGGCCUGCUUUCUAUAUGGAAUUCUCCCAGCUUUAAUGUCACGAAUACAAUGGUAGGAUAUUGCAUAUAGAAAGAGUCUUUACAUAGUACAACACUGAUUGAGUGCUAUUUAUGGAUUAUUCCUCAAAGAAAGAAUUGAGGAGCUAUCUGGUGAAUUUCAAAUGUAACAUUUCUAAGCCAUGGUGCCUUGGGGAUUUUAAUGAGACUAUCUCUCCUUCAGAUCGUAAGGGUGGGAUAAAUAGUACUUGUUCUAUGAAAGCAUUUCAAUAAUGUUACAUGGAUAUCUUUUCUACUAACUACUACCUUCUGUUAAAUUAUCUAUAUCUGAUAACUCUGUCAUAUCCCCUGUUCACGAAACAUUGCACACCAAGCAACUAGGUGUUUCCUUCAGAUGUUUGGUUCUAUGGUAUUCUGGGUUUCUUCUGCAGCAUGUUAUUGAAUCUAUGGUGUUCUGAGUUGGUUCCUUUUGAGAAGAAUUAAUUUUUUAUUUAUACCGAGCAGGUUCUUAUACAUAGUGAAAGCUUGAGCCAUAAUAUUGGCAGGAUUGCCGGUAGCACUGGGAAGCAGAAUUGUUGUCCCCUGAAAAAAGAAAAAAAGAAGGGACAGAAGGAAAAGAAGAACAAACAUCAGAAAUUGUAAACUAACUGUUUAUCAAACCAGACAAUCACAAGCACAUUUGAAUAAAUCUCCUCACCUCUUUGGCAAUGUUACCAAAAGCUCCCACAUAUUGCUCAGCAAUUUUCAAACUAGCGACCUGCAAAUCAUGCCACAAACGUGAGCCUUGAUGCACAUAAGAUAUGCAUGUCACAGUUGAUUGUCUUGUGAACGCUAAAAUGCAAGAAUCACAAAUCACAUGUGGUAUAAAACACUUGCAAAAUCACUAAUAUAUCUUGUUUACACAACAACAUCAAAAUCUACAUGGAGAACCUCACCUCAAUCCCCCCACUCUUUUUAAUAUUCUCUGACACAAUGGCAAUUCCUUUGGCUGUUGCUUGUGCUUUAGCAAUGAUGGCUUCAGCCUCACCUAAAAUAUUAUCGAUAAGGAUUUAAAAGUAUAUGAGAUUGGCAGCCGAUCAUAUGAGAACUAUAUAAAGAUAAGCCAUGAUAUUGCCCGAUCAAGUCAGGUUGGUUAUCAAAUAUUGUAGAGUAGCUAAUGGGUCUAGAAAAUGAAAAACUAGAGCAUCCAAAAAUAAACAAUCCAGGAGACUAGAAGAGCAAAUUAAGAGCCAAACCUAUUUUAAGUGCAACUAGGUACCAGCACUACCAUGUAAAAGCUUCAACAGAUAUGAAAAGUCAUAUAAUAACAAAUAUGUUCUCACAUCAUGUGGUUUGCUUAAAAAGUAAUACUUGAGAUGCUACAGCCAUCUCCAAUGAAACCCAAUCAUAAUCAGUGGAUCAUUGCACAUAUACACAAGGAUAUACGAAAGACAAGGAUUGAAAGAAAAUUGAGAUUAGCUGCCUACAAAAUAACUGUAACAAGAUAAGCCAUCAUAUCACCUCAUGAAUUUUGUUUGGUUAUCUACUAAUUUGGAACAGCUUAUGGGUCUAGAAAAUGAAAUAGAGGAGCAUCAAUUGAUUAUUGCACAGCAGAGAGACAUGAUAAAGCUAACCUUGUGCUUUGUUGAUGAGAGCUUGUUUCUCUCCUGUUGAGGAAGAGAGUUCCAAUGAAGAAAUGAUGGCAAUUGGAUGAUAAACAUUAAAGAAGUAAAACAAGUUCUAUUUCAAAAAAAUACCAGAGAAGUUACAACCAUCUCCAAUGAAACUUGUAACCAACAGAAUUCUAACAACACACAAGAAAACUAACCUUGUGAUGCCAAGAUCUGAGCACUCUUAUGACCAUCAGCAAUAUUAAUAUUGGCCUGUCUCUCUCCUGUUAAAAAUAAUCAAUACAAAAGAUUAUCAAUGGAUUGACAAAUGAAGAAAUAUUGCAAUGCCUCAUGACAUUGAACAAAUGGUUCUAAAAAAGGUUGCCUCCAAUUAUUAAGCCAUGCAUAACAAAGAUUUAUAGAUAUGAUAGGUGAAUAAAAGUGUCUGCAUUAUGUAGCAGCAAAGAUAUGAGAAGCAGAAAAAAUGCGAUUAAAAGGAGCGGUGGAAAACGACCAAGCAUGACAAGAUGGCAUGGCAAUUCUGUACAAACAGAUAAAAAUGAUGCAUGAAGUCAAUUGCAACAAAGUUUGAUUAAAGUGAGUUUAAUUAAGCUGAGGUAAAACUGAGAAACUAAACUACAUUUAAUACCUUCAGACUCAAGAAUUUGAGCUCUCUUUCUACGUUCUGCUUCUGCCUGCAUCUCCAUAGCUUGCUUCACCCCUCGUGGAGGAGAUAUAUCCCCUAAAGAAGCGAGGACAGAGAAGCAUGAAAAGAAAAUUCUACAGGAACCUAAUCAACAUAGAAUAUCAAAUAAGUUAAGUGCGGCUGGCUCACUUAUUUCAUAACAAAGACAUCGGAGACCCUAGUCUCUUGCAGCCACAUUAAUGGCCUCCUGCAGAAAUGGUGACAGUCUUGCAUAUUCAACAACAUCCUUGUUUUCUUAAAAUACCUGAUUUUCAACUAAAACUCCAAAACAACCUUAGAGUUUUAACUAGGUUGAUAAGACAAGAAACAGAGAAGUGUCAUUACAAUUUUGAAGAACCAACCAAAUCACAAUUUCCUGAAGCAGCAACCGAUUUUUCUCACAUUUAUGAUUUAUGUCUAGCAUUUCAAUAUAUUAUUAAUGAAUCGAAAUGUUAAAGCAACCAAUCUCUUCACGAAAUGUGCUUCACAUAAAAAGCACACUCCUAAAUAAAUAAAUAAUGUGAAUACACUAAGAAAGGGUGAUUGAAGUAAAGAGGUAUCAUACCACAAUCUUUUCAUUGAGAGUGUCUCGUUCUUCAAAGGUCUUGUCAAGAGUAAUCUUACCAAGCUCACUACGCAUAGUGGUCUGGGCAAGUUGAACGACAGCAUAGAUGGGAUUCUCAACACCAUAAGAGGCAAGCUUAGGAUCCACAAUCUGUUGCACAACAAUUUGAGUAUCAAUAAUAGUAAAUGAUUGAUUAACCCAAAAGGGAAAGAGAAACGAGAGAGAAGGGGGAAACCUUGACAUAGAGGACGCCGUCAAUAAGGAUGCUGACAUUGUCUUUGGUAAUAGCAGAUUGAUCAGGAAUCUGAAUAGCCUCUUCCUUCAAAGAGUGAACAUAAGCAAUUCGAUCGACAAGGGGAAUCAAGAAAUGGAUUCCAGAUGGCAGCGUCUUCAAGUACUUUCCAAAUCUCUCUACCACAAACGCUUUCUUCUCCGGCACAAUCCGUACCCCCCAAUUCACAGGUGGCGUAAUCUCAUAACUAAUGAAUUAUAAUAAAUUAAUAAAAAAAAAAUGGAAGAAAGACAGGGAGGGAAUGGGGAAUGAAUGUACCUGGUGAAGGGGUCGCGGCCGGUGCGGAGGAGGCGGACGGAGAUGGUGGAGGAGAGAGGAGAGGAAAGGCGGUUGUUUUGGGCUAAGUGAAAAGAAGGGGGUUUAAAUAAGGGAGAAUUGGAGGAGGGAGUGAGGAGGGUUCUGCCUCUGGAAGCGGUGGAAGCCGAUAAGGAGGAGAGGUGGUGGGAGGUUCUUACGGCGUUGUUGAGUAAUAAAUGACUCCUCCUCCUCCACAUUUUUCUGUCUCUCUUUGUUGUUGCUGUUGAAAAACCCUUGGCCUCCUUAAUUAUCGAACCCUCCCUCACUCUCACACUCUUCACUCUGAUC